rnacentral:lncRNA from 1 species
CAUGUAUAUAUGUAUAGAGGAUGAGAAGCGGACGUCCGCACUCGGCUUAAAGUGCGGACGUCCAUCCGUUCUCCACCCUCCGGCGCCGGCGACGGCACGCCUCCACCUCAGAAGACUCCAGCAGCGUCCCCGACCACUUUUCCUCCCCGACGAGUCCGUUUUUUUCCAGUUUUCUGGCGAGAUCGACUUUGUUUGAAGUUUUGGGUGAUCAUCGAACAUCAUCGAGCUUUAAGGCAGAGCUUAGCAAACCCCAACAAUAAGUUGAAUAUUUUUUUUUCUUUUUGACCAGUAGAAUGACCAUGGGAGACACCGAUUAAGAAAAUGGGAGAGAUACAAAUUUACUUUCCACCUUAGUUCUCCGCAUUUAUUCUCACACGUCUAGAUACAUGACACAUGGAAAAAUAAAGAUGGAGAGCAAAUUUGUAUCCGGAAAAAACUCCACCAUAUUAACAAAGAGAUUCUGUAAGAUAAUUUAGAUUAGCUGUGCAUAUGUGAUAGAGCUUGAUUGUAGGCCAUAAUAUUGAAUCGAAUAGAUAGGAGACCUGUAUAAAGUUUGUAAUUCAGUUAUGUGAGAAUCAAGAAAACAUAUUCUUCAUAUUCAAUUUCUCUUUAGAGUCCAUAACUAAAACUGUGUGACCGAUCUUGUUCCAACAAAUUCAAGUUCCUUCAAUAUGUCCUGUACAGUCCCUUCAAUAUGAGAUGCUUUCAAGAAUGCUUACCUUCACUGCUACAACCUUUCAUGAAAUUCGCAUAGGCUUGAGUUCUUGCAGUCAAGUUAAUGAAAUAGUCCCAACUCCCACCUCUCUAUAGUGCAUACGACACAAGUUACUUGGCUUUCUGACUACUAAAAUUCGAUAGAUUUCACACUUCCUUUUUUUAUCCCCACCUCACUCAUUGUUGAAUCUUGAUACGUGACAUUAAAACUCAUGACUUCCAAGAACAAGUUACCGCUGACCGACAUGACACAAGUCACCUGACUAGACUAGAAAAUGACGCCACAAGAAAUAAGGAACAGUAGAUUGUGUUGAAGUGGUGGAUUUCACUUGCAACUACCAGUUUAAGGUUUCCACAAUGCUUUGCUAUCAAGUAUAAACCCACACAUUCUAUUAGUGUUUCUUUGUUGACAUUACUGUGUUGUUUGAAGCGAAUGGUUUCUAUAGCUUGUCCUCUUUACCAGUAUGCUCUUCUCCAAUGGCUUUCCCCCUCUGGGCGUUUCUAGUGUGUUUCUUAUCGGGAAAAAACAAAUUUUAUUUUUCCAUGUAGAUUGCACUUCUGCUGCCAUCCGAAGUAGCUCGUUUACAAGUCUCAAGUCAGUAAUGUCCGCAGGCCAGUAGUCAAUACUUCGAAACUGAAGUGUUUUGAGAUAUAGAAUGAAGAGAAGUAAACAAAUCCGUCCAGAGUAUCAUUCAUCGAAAAUCCUAAAAAUUCUUAUCUACAGUAGAACGAGAAACAAAGACCACAGAAAUUUACAACCAACACUUCUUUCACAAAACUAUGAAUAUUAUGAUUUUCUAUGAUACAACAUAUAUAUCUACAAGGCGAGUGGCAAUGUCGACAUCAGAAUGGUCACUUGUAUUCAAUUACCAUAGCUAACUUUGCAGGCUAUUGAGUAAGAGGAACACAUUCCAGCUCAAUCUCUAACAUACCUCUCUCAACAUUCUGCAGCCUAAGAGCAAUCUGCUGUCUUACUUUCCCAUCUAUUAGGCUGAUGACACCAUCUUUUACCAGGGUGUUAUCUUUGCUGGCUAUCCACUUACCCAGCUGCGUCGUUUCAUUGAUCGAAGACUUCUCAAAGGCUACAGCAGCGGUGACCAGAGGUUGAAUGUCAAUCUCAGCCUCACCCAUAUAAUCAUCAGUUGUGAAUGUAUCCUUGUCAUACACCAGCUGAAUGUAGCCAUCCAAAUAUUAUGUUUAGCAAUUAUCAUUUAAGACCAAGAUGCAAAGCAUGCAAAGAUCAUUAUUAAUUGUUAUAGACAGAUUCCUAUACUGUACAUAACUAAGGAUAAUCAAAUCCACAAAUUGUUAUGUUUCUUGCUAAAGGUUAAGCAUUGCAUAUGCUUAGGCAUUGCUGCAUGGUUAAAAUUUAAUCUUCCUUUGAGUCCUUUGACAUCAAGCAGUGCUCAAUGCAAGGAUAGAUCAAAAUAUCCACUGUUCAUAACUCAUGAUACAAUAAUAUUGGAUUUAAACUUCCUUAAUUGGGUAAUUGGGUAAUGUAAUUACGAGACUACACUACUAAAGGAAGUUUUUGAAGUCCUGAAGGUUUUCCCUCGCAUUUCGGUCACUUUUUUUUUGUUAUUUCGUAAUCCCCAGGUAUGGUGCAUGGAACGCUAUUAAACGCAUAAGUUAUUUUAAAAAAAAAAAAAAAACACAUACACGGAGGAGGGGGAGAGAGAGAGAGAGAGAGAGAGAGAGAGAGAUAAAUUAACUAACUUCAUUAACUAACCCAGAUCAAUCUUGCACAAACUAGUAAUAUCAACAAGCCACGGAUAAAUUUGCAGGAAUCUGUUUGAAUUGGCCAAAAAUUGGUUCAUUGGGUGUAAUUAUCUUAGGAUCUAAUUUUUAAUGAAAAUGACUUACCACUUUCAGAGGAGGAAUCUGUUCAGGAAUUGACAGCAUCAGGCUUUCAUUCCACACUGGAUUCAGGUUGUUCUUUAUAACGCGUGUCUUCACUGACUGCAACAAACAUUGUGGAAGAGUUCAGUCUUGGUAUCAAAAGGUUGAAUCCAUCUUAUCUAUAAUAGCUAUAAGCAGAAGAAACUUACUUGGUGACCCAAUGCAAGGAUAACAUAAGGAUCACUUGUGACCACAUCCCGGACAACUAAGUUCGUUCCUCUGACCACGUUCACUUUAAUUAAUCCAACAAAUUCAACCAUACCUGCCUAUAAUGUACACUAGCAACAGUAAGAUUCAAUCCCGUCGAUUGUAAAUUCAAAUGUGUUUGGUAAUCAAAGUUCACAGUUUUUGAACAACAAUAAUUUUUUGAUCUCAAAAAUGUUGACAGAUGCAUAGCCAUCAACCUAAUAGUUUAUUUUAUCUUCCAGUUUUAGUGGUACAUACAAGAGUUCAACACAAACACAGAGACAAGUAAAUUUUGAGCUUGGAAUUCAUCAAAAUUAAGGAAAUUCGCAUUACAGACAAAGUUGUCAUAACAAAACCACGUGCCAAUUUGAAAUGAUAUUUACAAAAAAAACAAAAAACAAAAAAAUAACAAAAAAACUUGCUUUUCUAUGUGUAAGUUAAAGAAAAAGACAAAUCCUUUGAGCAUCUAAUCUCAGAAAAUAAAAAUAUUUUUUGUAGCUUAUGGUACUUAUCAAAUCACUACACAGAGAGAAAGGCCACAAAAAAUUGUUGUGAAAUAAAAUACCAUUAUUCAAAAGAAAGUCAUUACCAUUGACAUUGAGUUGCCCUUCUUUGCGGCUCUAUGAUCAGAGUCUUUUCUUCCCCAGCUAUUACGAAAUGCAUGCCCGAUACGAUGUCUGGUAGGUUGCUUGUCACAUUGUUUCUUGUCUUGGCUAUAACUACUGCUUGAAGAAUUGGUCGAAGAAUGUCUCUUAUGAGCAGGGGGAAAAGGACAUGACAUCUCAUCACUUGUAUUCAAAAAGUCUUGCAGCUCAUAUUUUCUCCUGAGUAGUCACAAAGUAAAUUUCUGAUUUAGUAUAUAAACUCUCAAACAAACACCACAGAAAAUACAUUAUGUGCAUUACCUAAUAAAAUAGAAGCGCUCCUCUAUAGAAGAAUCUGGUUUUGGUUUUUGAACAUGUACUGGCAUGCAAGCUUCAAACUUCUUGUUUAUAGUAACAUUUCCACCCAUACUUGCCAGGCCAUCAACUUCUUCAUUUGUCCAUUCAUCUAGCUUCACUGAAACAACCUAGCAUGUUUACCAGUCAAAUUAGAAUGCCAUCAGACGAAAAGUAAACUCAAGAAUAGGUUAUCUUCUGUUUGAUUGUUUUUUUGAAUAAACUCAAGAAUAAGUUUCAAGAAGGCGGAAAUUAUUAAGAAACAUAUGAUGUGUUCUAUAAUCGACAAGAUAGGUUUCCCUACCAUACACUGAUUUUGCAAAAAACUUAGUGGCAGGCGCCAGCCUGCGUCCUACGCUAUUAAUUAUCCUUAAACCUCGAGGGAUGAUACCAAAAGAAAACAGCAGCACUUAACAGAAAUAGUAUCCAGAAAUAAAUGUGUUAAAUCACCCGUAAAAUCCCCAUUCUCUGUUCUUCACACAACACUUAUUUCUCCCAUAGUCAAACCUUCAGGUCAUAAAAUAUUUUGGUAAAGCCAGAACAAGGUUGCAUAAUCUUUUAGUAUAGAGGAUCAUAGAUCAGGAGCCAUACCUUUGAAAUAUGCACUCCAAGGCUUCUAUGUACACCAGAACACUUGAUGCAAAUAAAUACUCCAAAAUUUAAAGAUCUGAUAUACACCAAUUCAUACAUUCAAAACACAAUGCAAGUAAUCAAAUGAUUCAUAUCACAUUGUAAAGCACAUCUAGGAAGUAUUCAACACAAAAGUUCAUUUUUGACAAGAUCUUUCAUUUACCAAAUGCACCAAUGUUACAAAUUCCUAAAUCACAAGAAAAUAUAGAAGGGUAAGGAAGCAGAGUAGCCCUUCCAAGGAAAAAAAAUGACAAACAAAUUAUGACUUAAAAGCUAUUUUUAUAGAGGAAAGUUGUUCUCAUUAGACUGCCAAAAUAACCGCUAUAAUUAUCCUCCUACACAAUUAUAUCAAAAUUAUCGUAGUUCUGCAUGAUAACUACUAUGUCCCUGAACAAUAUGACCUGUAAAACUGUAAGUAGAUACGAAUAUAUACCGCCAUUAAGUCUGUGUAUGUUGUCUCAAUUUUUGUGAUAUUCUGUAGGGUGGGUGUCCAACAAUGACACACACACAGAGGAACAAAAUGAAAGGAAAGUCUUGCGUAACAUCUCUCUCGUAAGAUACACUUAUGUAGGUUAUAACAAACAUAGAUAGGAGUAAUGUUCAAUUGCACAAACAACUCGAUAUGUUUUCCAAGUAGACAAUUGUUUACGUUCUAAGAACUCAUCAGGUUCAAGAUUUUUCAACAUAGAGCACUAGCACCAAGAAUGUUGCAGCUUUAUGAUCCGGCAAGGGAGCAAAAACAGUGGUACCCUACAGCUCGCCAUCUGGUAAUUACUUCUUAAUAGGAUAGCCAUUACAUAGUCAUAUGCACCAUGAUUAUUAGUGCACAGACCCAAAUAAACAAAAAUUAAAAAAAGACUUAUCAAACAAAAUCAUUUAGUUGGAUAUCAAGUCCUAUUUAAUAAGCACUUUUUCUUAUAUUAGCACUUAAUUGGUUAGCUAGAUUGAGUAAAGAUUUGGGCAUCUUUAUGGGCUUAUACUUCUAAGGAAUUUAGGGAUUAUAGCCUUUCUUCCAUUAUUCUUAACUAGGAAGCAGCUGUAGUGUAAUCUUUUUGUUUGGUGUUAGUCCUAAAAGCUGAGCUGCUAUGCCUUUAGUCAUAGCUGCUCUCUUUUCUUUUUAAGCGGACUUCUUGUCCGCCUCCUAAAAAAAUUGGUUAGCAAGAUUGAGACUGAAAACAAAAAUAUGAUACAGGUUAUGGUACAGGCAAUUCAGAAUUGACAGGGAUCAACUGUGAAAGUCAAAAAUGUAUACAUAAUAUGUAACAUUAAUUAAAAAGAUGCGUAUCAAAUCAGGUUGAACAGAAAAUACCAGUUACCUAUACUUCAGUAUGUAUAGAUCAAUCAUCAAUACUUCUCAUUAAGAACCAUUCAGUAACAAUACAUUUCAUCACUCGUCAUGAUUUUCCUUCAAUUCAUUUAUGUAUAGGGCCCAACAGAUAGUGAAUCUUUGUAAAUUUUGAUCAUCCACGUUGUAAUAUAGACAUGCUAUUAAUGUAAAUUGUGAUAUACUUCAACUCAAAAGUAAAAUUACUACGAAGAAAAAGAAGGUUGUAGAAAUAAAGUAUAUUGACAGUAGACAGAAAAAGACAAAGCCACACUUACACCCAUUUUGGAUCUGGAGAUCCACAAUCAGCACAGGACUUGUUGGCAGAUUGAUGCAGCAAAAUCUCCAGCCUUUCUUGUGGACCUGAUCAAUGAAGUAUUAGAAUUGAAAAAAGAUACAAUAUGCUCUUAUUAUGAUGUGACAGAGAUCUAAGACUAAGAAGAUUAAAUCAAAAAAAGAAAAAAAAGAAAAAAAACAAACAUUUGUAUUUUAGAUAGACUGGAGUCACUGGACUGCUUGGCCAUACAGAGCUCACUUUAGGUUUGAUUUGUACAGGAACUCUGAUCUAACUAUAAAUGCAGCCUCAAGUCUUAUUAAGGCUGGAAGCAUCUUGCCGAUUUCCAGCUAUAGUUAGUUUCCAUUGUGAACCUCAUACAUUGUAUGUUCUCACACUUUGUUUGGUUACAUGGACGUGGACAUAAAACAACAACACAUAUAAUUUAGGUCUUGGAUCUUCUGUGAGCUACCUGUACUGCUGCUAACUAGCUGAUCAACAACCAUCACAUUUGAAAUAUAAAUUGGAAUGGCUCAUAUUGUUUCAAAUUGUAUAAUACGCUCUUAACUAAGAAUUGUGGGAUAUAACUAACUAUACUAUCUUUGACCAAGGGAAAGAUAGAGCUUGACAAAUCAGAACAAAAAAAAGAUAUUAAAGACACCUAACAAUAACAAGCCACGUAGAAUAGUUUACCGGAUAAUGUCCGUCGAUCACUUUGGGUUCUCCAAUUGGGUGCAUCUGAACAUAAGAGAUCAUAUAGGCAAGACCCUUGUUCUGCAAAGGCAACCAAUUCAAUUAAUACCAACCUGCCAAUACAGACUCAACUAGCGUAACAUAGAGCAAUGAAACAACAUCAAAGGUUUCUAAUGUAGGAAACUAAAUUUAAGAUCAGAAAAGUACACCAUUAAUUCGAGUUCACAUUAAGCAUUUUUAAACAACAGAUGUUGAGGUUAUGAAAUCAUAUAUCCCGUUCACAUGUUCCUGUUAAAAUAAAGCUGACCAAGAGCAUAUUUUCAUUUCAAGAGAAUUGUCCUCCUCUCACAUAGAAAAUAUUUGCUUCUUUACAAUAUCAAACCUAUAUAUCCUCGUCAAUUUUCAGCCUUUUUUGUAUAAAGCAUUUGCUACCAUUUUGGCUCAAAAAAGUAUUAUGGAAAUACAAAAAUAAAUGAUCCCAAAAAAAAAAAAUAAAACAUGGUUAUACCGGAAACAUUGUUGUGACCAGAAUUUUCUUGCUGGGUAGCCAUCUCCAUCUGCCAAUGAUUCAGACCAAAUCAUGAAACAGGUGCUACCUUAUGAGAAUAGCCAUUUUAUCAGCAAACUUAUCUGCAUUCAAAUUGUCAACAUUAAGAAAAGCAAACGUAACAAGACAAUCAUGACAGAUAGAACAAACCAAAAUAGGGAUCAUCUUACAUAUGCAAAUAUAGGAUAAAUGACAUUAGAGUGCCAUCCACCCUUGUUUUUAUUAUUGAAUAUGGUUUUUUUUAUCUGAAAAUCAAAAGGGCUUCUUCUCAGUUUGCUCCUCUGCAUCAAAAAAUAAGCAUACAAAAGAACCAAUUCAGACAAUUGGGUACAUAGACAAAAAGAACAAAUCUUUUGAUACAUUGUGCAAAUUGAUCAUUACCCAGAAAAGGAAAAAAAAAUGGGUUUUUGCAAAUUGGGAAUCAAAGGCUGACAAUUAUAGAGAUUGAAGCUCAAAUUGGCAAAACAAGGGAGGAAGGUGGGAAAAGGAAUUGUGGGUAAGGCAAGAAUGAGAAUAUUUGAUGUUAUCUGAUGGAGUUUAGGCAAAAAGACAAGACAGAGAUUCAGGGGAAGAGGAUAGAAAUGAUGAGAAGAAGAAUCUGCAUCUGGGUUUUUGACAAGUUCUCUUCAAAUUAAAUUUCGUGUAGGUUUUUUUAUUGAAUUAACAUUUUAAAGAUACCACUAGUUGUUUGUCUUCUUUAUGGGUAAAAAUCCUCACAUAAAACUUUUUUGGUUACAGAAAAGAAGCCUCUAAACUGAAAAUACGAAAAUGAGAGUCUGGCAUGAGAAAACUAAAAAGAAAACUGAAAAACCCACAGUUUGGCUUAUGAAAGACAAAAUUAAAUAUCCCGAUCAAACCAAAAAUUAAGAAAAAAUAAGACACAGGAAAGACCAGGUCGGGAAAUGAACGAAGGUUGGUGGAGGAUUGUGGCGUAUCACUCAAGAUAUGAACACGCGGUAUUUGACUAACAAUAUUAAAGGAUAGUAAUCGAAAAAAAAAUGUUGUAGCAUAUUUCUUAACGUGUGAGUGUGACUUGGUCUUAUGUUACUAAGAUAUAAUAAGUUUACAUGUUAGAAUAUGAUUAUGUUUUCUUUCUUUAAACCUAAAAGGUACUCAUGCUCAGUACAAACUUUUCAUUUUUGAAAAGGUACUUAAGGUUGUACCUGGAAUAGUCAAGAACAUUGUUUUCUUUUAUAAGAAUCUUGUUGGUAUGCGUGCUAGCUGCAAAUUAAUCUACCAUUUAGAUGGUAUGUGUAAGAAGAAAGUAGCAAAAUCUGUAGUGCAGGAGCCUCAUAAAGAGAAUCGAGUUGAAGCACUAGUCAAUUUGGCAAACCCAAAUUACUCACAAGGUUCGCUGAAGUUCGCAGGAGUUCAAUAUGGAGGAGCCAUGUCUUUGAUUCUAAAGCCCCUACAACCACUAAUGCCUUCAAAGCCACUGGUAACGCGUAAACCAAUUGUCAUCAAGAAAUCGUUGCUUGGUUCUGAUGUCACUGAGAGACUGGCGCUAGCUGAAAUUGGCACAAAUUGUUUAGAACCAACAAGGAAUGAUACAACGGAUGAUGUACCUGAUAUGAGUGUAGAGCUGCUGUUGGUUUCUACCAAUGCGCAACCAAUUGAUCAAGCUAUGCAGAAACCAAAGGAUACACCUUUGAGUUGUGUUUCCAAGAACUGCAAUUCCUCGUAGACCUUGGAGCUGUGUGAUAUUCAAGUGACUACUGGUAUGGCUGAGAUAGCUUCAACUCCGGAUAUUACUAUUAUGCAGUCUGUGGCAACACAAGGAGUUAAGGAUGUGUUUCAGGAAGGUACUAUCCAAAUGCAUAAGGUUAUGAAUCCGAGUUCUCUACCAACUCCUUCGGAUUUGAACUUUGCUGCAAAAACUACAGGCAUAGUCACUGAGGUUGUCAAAGAACCAAGUUCUCGGCUACCUCCUUUUGUGGAUUUAAUUCAGGCUGCUAGGUUGGAGAAGCCUAACACUGACCUUGAGCCUAAAGUCUUAGCAACUGGAGCUGUCAAGCGCCAUCGGCUAUCAAAGGUAGAACAAAAUGAGCCUGCUGAUCUAGUCUCUAAGAGGGAGAAAAAAUCUCGACCAAUUAUCCAGUUUCCUCCUAGCCAGCUAGGUCUUAUUCAAGAACCUAAUGACACUUUGAUUACUAAACCGGAGUCUCUGCUGAAGCCAAAGAAGAAAAGGGACGCCUCCUUGGCUCAAAAAACAAAACACCUAGCCCUGUAGCUACAGAGGAACAUGAGCUAAGAGUACUUUGCUCCAACACCCCACCAAGCCCUGACCCGAAGGGCAAAAACAAAAUGCAGUAAGUGUCGAAGUAUGGAUAGCCUGGCAGACUGUGUGAGCUAGCUGCAGCUAGAUGGAUUCAUAAAGCUUGGAGUACCGCAAUUGAGCAUCUUGCCUCCGGUUUUAUGUUUCUCUGAUAUCUUGUUUGUAUCUAGUUUAAUCCUCUGUUAAACUCACUGAAAUAAGUGAGCUUAUUGUCUAAUGUAAUGGUUAUGAUACCAUUUUGGCCUGAGUUUUUUCAAUGAAAUAUUAUUAUUAUUUUCAAAAAAAAAAAAGGUACUUUGUAAUUCCCUAUAUAAAUAGCCCCUAUCAUAAAUAAUACAACAACAGUUCUACGAUUUUCUUUGAUAUCAUCUCUCAAAUCACUUUUACUCUUUCACGUUAUCAACAUCUCGUGAGCGGAUAGCUCCACCAAUUAUUCAAAUUACCCCCUUCCCUAUUUUUUUCCGAAAAAGCCUUCAGGCCCCCUAGACCUGAUUUCGGCCGCAAAUUCCGGCCACCUCCGGCCGAACUUUCGUUCAAUUUCAAGCUUUUUCGACUUUGAAGACAAUUAUGGUAAGUUGAAAGGUAUAUAUCAAAGUUAUUUACUUUCGAAUAACUCAGGGGAUAAAGUCACUUCCCCCUUCUUCUACUCCACUCCUCUGCUUGGGUUUGUGUCAUUGCAGGAAAAAUCCCGAAAUUUUAUUCACGGGUUCGAGUUAUGUUUGAUCAACUUCGGUUGUACUUCCGAGUUAUGUUUGAUCAACUUUGACUAUACCUCCGGGUGCGCUAAUAAAUUGAGUACACGAAGUUUCGAAAAUUGAAAAGUAAGAAAACAAAUCGUGGCAUUCAAAUGAUGCCUUAUUACAUAGCUUGGAAAUAGAGAAAAACAGACUAGCCGAUGACGUCAAAGUCAUGUGGCAUUUAACCGAAACCUUGGCGAGUUGAUAAACCCAAACCCAGGAACCAGUCCAACUAGCCUACUCACUGUGUCUCAGGAAAUUGUAACUGCUGUGGAUCUCAAGAUUACUGGUUCAAGAAUUAUCGCUGUAAUACCCUAGAUUUUCAUAUCAAUUUUCCUUGUAUCAUUUUCGGAAUUAAUGAAGGAAUAUUUAUGGAAAUUUUUUAGUUUGUGCGAAGUUGAAGUUUCAGGAGUAAAUUUUAAGGUGCUUUGACUUUUAAGAGGCCCAAAAGUUGACUUUAUUUUUCAUAAGUUAUUUGCAAAAAUUUCCUUCAUGAAAGUUAUAGAGUUUGGCGAUACGAGUUCAUAGACACGCGGCACGUGUAAAUCGGAUGUCGUAUGAGAAAGUUAUGGUAAGAGGAAGUUAGUUUUCGGUUUUGGAAAAAGUAUAAGUAGAAAAAUGUGUGGGAGAUAUUUUUAGAAAACCUAUAAUUGCAGCAGCCCAGUUCUCAGUCUCUCUCUCUUCUCCCUCCCGACCCUCCCACGCCCUCUUUCUUCUCCGGUCGUUUUCUUCCUCAUCCGGCCACCAUUUUGGACUCCGUCGGUUUCGUUGGAUCCGCACCGACAUCCUCUCCAUUUCUGGAGCAGUCCCGCUCGCCGCCUCAUCGCCAUGAAGCGGCGGAGCUCCUGCUGUUCCGCCAUAAAGCUGGCGAUUUUGACGGUGAUUCCGGCCAAGUUUAGGUGAGUCUUGCUCUCCUCUCUCUUCUAAAGAUGUUUAUACCUCUUUGGUGACCUAAAGAGCUAGUUUGGGUGCCGGAUUUGUAGGUUUGGUUUUUGAAUUCGGGUUGGUGCUUCGGGGCGUUUUCCGGCCGAUUCCGGCCAAAUUGUCUCAAAUGUCAGGUAUAAAAGAUGUUUCCCUCCCUUAAAUCUACAACUUUGAUGUUUUGAGUUUUCUCAAAUUCGAAAGUUGGUAGUGGCGCAUGGGGCCCACUCACCACCGCCUGUGGUGGCGCGUGGCAGCUAGUCCGGCAGUGUUUGUGGCUUAGUUUGUUGUGUUUUAGCUAGCUCUUGUUGUUGUGAGCUUGUUGAGAUGUAGAAUUUCUAGGUUGUGAGCAAGGUUUGCAUGUUAGAACUUUAAGUGUGAUAUUAUGCUUGGUUGAGGUUUGAGUUAGGGUUUGAGGAUUAGAGGCAGCCUUAUUGGGGUCGUUAAGUUUGACGACCUUGGAAAGUUGUCCUCCCUUGGGCUAAGGAUUAGUUAAGGGUGUUUUGUUUUCCUAUAGUACUCUAUUACUAAGGUUAAUAUGUGUGUGAUUUUAGGUGAUUUGUGAAAUUGUGAGUUGGCUUGCUCUUGUGUUUUGCGGAAACGCAGCGGGAUAUUGAGGUGAGUAAAUCUCACCAAGGUUCACUUUUGAACCAAGUUUUAUUAUGGUCAUUUGAUGAUGAUAAUGAUUAUGAUGUUGAAUUUAAUACCUGCUAUUAUUUGUUUUAAAAUAUAUGAGUUUAAUCGCUAAUGGCUCAUAGGUAAGAUAAAAUAAGUUUUUCAUAUAUGUUAUUUUUGAGGUUCAUGUGAUCAUAAUUUAAUUAAUUAUUGAUAGGUUAUUCUUGUGGAAUAUCUAUAUUGUUCAAAUAAAUAUAUCUAUGUGGAAGGAUAUAAUUUAUGAUGUGAUCUUGUGUUGUUGAUGAUGAUGUUGUGAUAUUAUGAUUGUUGGAUAAAUAGCCAAACCGGGUACCAACCCUUUAAUCGGGUGAUUGAUUACGGUUAAGAUGUUAUUUAUUAUUUUGUGUUUUGAUAUUGGACAGUCAAACCGGGUUCCAAGCCUUUGGCCGGGUGAUUGGUUAUGGUUAGGAAUAAAGCUCUAAUCCGUCUGUCGGUGUAGGUCAUGGGAGAUACCUUAUGGUAUCUAGGACCCAUGGGUACACAAUUUGUUGUUGUAGGUCAUGAGGGGUAUUUAUUAAUACCUGGGACUCAUGGGUACAUGUUAUUUGAAAAAGUGUUGGAAUCAUGAAUUUAAUUAUUGAUAUAAACUGCUCUUAUGAUAUAAUUGGAUGUUGGAGGUUUUGUGUUAUUUUGAGAAUUACUCAUACGGGCUUUUUAGCUUACCGGGUUUGUUGUUUACAACCCGGUGCACCAAUUCUUGGUGUGGGGGUUAGAUCUACAGGGGAGGAUCAGCAGGGUUGAGGCGGAAGCUUAGUGGCAGGCUUUUUGUUGAGUUUGCUGUACACUGUAUAUUUUUAUAUUUGGGGUAGACAUUAUUAAACUCAUGUGAGUGUUUCAUUUUCUUGAUUUUCAAAUUUAUAUAAAUAAAGAAAUAUAAUAUUGGACUCAGUGUUAAGUUGUGUGACAUUUACAUUUCCACUUUGAGCUUUAGCUUUCUAUGGAGUUGGUUGAAACAGGUUUUGGGAUUUUAAUAUUUUAAGGUAUAUCAUGCCCAAAUUUUUAAAAAAUUAUCUUUCAAAAAUUGGGGUGUGACAGUCGCGCUCAUCCUAAAGUUACAGCUGCUUACAAAAAGUACAAAGAAUCGUUGGAGAUCAAUUGUACAGAGAACAAUGGCGGUGACCAAAAUGUCAACCUCAAUGUUGCAGACUUCAACGGACGAGAUUCCGAUUUAGAUGCCUUUGACUUUGACGUCAUCGGCUAGUCUGUUAUCUUUAUUUGCAAGCUAUUUACAAUUUUUCAAGACUUCAUUGUACUCAAUUUAUUAAUGCUAUGAAUGAAAUUUCUUUUUCAAAAUAAUUUUUUUUGUCUCUCAUAGAUCGUAUUAAAAAAAAACGUUUUAUUAAUAACUCACACACCCUACAUAUGUCCUUGAGGUUUGAACCCGUGACCUCAAAGUUGUCAGUUAAACACCUUAACGAACCAAGGCACGGCUCACCGACCUCAUAGAUCGUAUUAAUUUACAGACAAAAUAUAUAAUUUUUACAUCGUCUUUAGAAACAUGACAUAUUUACAAUUUGUUAUAAAGUAAAGAAAAGAAGAAGAGAAGACACAGAGAGAAUAGUUGGGAGGAGAUAUAAGUAUAUUCAUUUAUUCUCAUUAGCCUCCUUAUAUAGAGGUAGGGUUUACAUCAGAGUACAUAACUAAUGAGUAAUUACGUGGACAUCCACAUAGAUUAUAAUAUUUAUAACACUCCCCCUUGGAUGUCCACCAAUGAAUGAUGAAAUUUGACGUGUUUAAUGUUGUCUCGUUAAAAACCUUGCCAGGUAAGAAAAACUCAGUGGAAGAAAAAUAACCUUGGUCGAAGGAGAAAAAAAGUACAACGCGCAUAUGUCUUAGGUAGCAUACUUCUGGAUGCUCCCCUUGAUAAGAAUCUCCCCUUGAACGUUGCAAGCUUCAUGCGCCAUAAAUAACGGUUUGAUUUGUCAAUCACUAAAGUGAGACCAAGCGUGCUUUGCAUAUAGGGUCUCAUCAUAAAAUUGUGUACCUGUAAAGUUAAAACAAUACCAACAGAACUAAACGAUUAUAAAUAGGUUUUACCUCAUUAAGUCGUGUAUGACCUAAUUCAUACACUAAGUAAUAGCUAAUCAACAUAAGCUAAUUGACAUUAAAGCAUUGAAACAUCAUCAUGGCGUAUCCAGCCAUACACAUCAAUAUCUAUGUGUAUGAUACGUCUCAUAUGAACUAUACAAGAGCUCUGAGUAAUUCAUAACUUUCCAAGAGUUAAAAUAUGUAGCAACAUAAUGAUCAUAAUUCGAAUUCGAUUGUGUAGUCCGAUCAUAAUACUCAUUGAGGCAAUUUCGAUCACGUUAGCUAUAACGGAAUGAGUAUAUAUGAGUUAACUUUAGACUAUUUGAUUCCAUGAAUUAGCUUCAAGCUCUCUUAAGUAUUCAUAGAUCGAAUUACAUUAGAAUCAUUCAUGUACUUGAAUCCUUUAACGAUUUGACAAGCGAUACGCUUAUAAUGACACUUCAUUUUUUGGAAUUGCUUUUAGCAACGUGUCUUUUAUGAUUCUCAUAAUAUAUGAUGACAAAUGCCGUAAGUUUCUCGUCAAUAACAACUAUAUCUAUUAUGUAACACUGUACUUACAGAAAAUUGUCACGUAUAAGGAAAGAUAUUCAUAAUCCCCAUGUCUCUUGUAGACAUUAUGCGAUAGUGAUUUAUAUUCACUAUGAUCAAUACUCUUUUGUAUCAUGUAGGGUAAAGGUCAAAGAAUCUCAUCACAUUUCAUAUAUUUAGUUUCAUUGGAAUUGCCUCUUUCCAAUUUGGCCAAUAAUAUGCUUUUGUUGACAUGCAUAAUGAAAUGUGGCAUAGCAUCGAUUAAUACGGUCCUUAAUGGUCUUUGGUAGCUACCAUUUGUAAUUUGUCAUAGAUGAUCAUCAUUCAUUGAUCCCACACAUUCUUAUAUGCAUGCAUUUUUGAUAUUAGGUACCCAUGCCACUUCUGGGGAAAAUAUUGUCACUUCUAGGACAAAUAUUAUCUAGCGAAUGUGGAUCUUUUACUUGUAAUAUCAUGUAGACCAUUAGAGGACUUGUAUAAUCUUCCAUUUUCAGGAGUUUAAAACUUUAGACCUAGUGGAUACAUUCUACUCAAAUUCACGCCGUUAUUCAAAUGACAGUAGUCUUGUUCUCCCCCUAAUGGCGGGAAGACUGUCAUGUUAUGACCAUCCGCAAAUAUGUGUUUAAAGCUCUAUCACUUUAUUUCGAGUGAAAUAUUCAUUGACUGGUGGCGAACCUAAACCAUGUAUGAGGUCAAAAACAUUAUAUUCAUUUGUUGGUGUUGUUGCAUAUUGGGUUCUGGGUUGUAUUUUUUCGAUUACUGAUUUGCAAUUGUUUUGCUUUGUUGUUAAUUAGAGCAGACAAACAUGUUGCUAAAGGAUGCUCGCAUCUGACAUUGGGAUCAUGGGAGAGCAAAAAUCCAAUCCCGACCGCCGAGAAAACACCGGUGGACUUUAGACCCACAUAGCCAAAUUCGCUAUUGACUCCACCAUCAACUCUGUCAAAUUCAAAGCCCUUGCGGGUUUGUUUCCAUAAACUUUUUUGUAGACAAUUGAGUUUUUGUUAUUUGAUCCAAAUUAUUAAUCUGGGCACGUUUCAGAAACUAUGAAUAUACUAUUUGGUCUUUCUAUUCAAGUAGUUAACACCUCUUGCUUUCUAGUUCCAUAAUCUAUUAGUUAAUUUUUUACUGAAUGAUGCUAAUGGUGUUGAAUUUUCUGUAUUUAUGGUUGAAAUGCACAAACUUGAAUCUGUAGGCUGUAGGGAUCUAAAGUUUACGAACUAAUGUGGAAUUAUGUUUAAUUUUAACAAGCCAUUUGUUUCUGUAUUGUAUGAGCUGUUGGAAUUAGAACAUAAAAACAAUGCAUACAUUGUACAUUUAAUCACUAAUAUAUAGUCUUUUUUUCUUUUUUUUUUAACAGGAAUCACUUAUAUAUAAUCUAAGGAUAUGAUCUUCAAGUAAGCAGAGGUUAAGUAUUUGUAAGUUACUGCUUGUGUUUAAUAAUGAGACUUAUUAUUAGGUUGUGUUAAUUAUUUCCUUUUGGCUCUUUAUGAGGCUAUUGCAUUUAAAUGUACGUGCUUUAUUAGCAUAAUCAUGACAGAAAUUGAUGAUCAUGCUGUACACAUACCUUUGAUAGAAGAUGGAGACCAGAUACCUUCAAGAAAAAAUCAAUGGAGUGAUCGAGUGGGCAGCUUUCGUUGGCGAUAAGGCAAUGUGGAUCUUCAGUUAUACACUUUAACUAUGUACCUAGUGAAGUUUCUUUAAUUGUACCAAAUGCAUCUUUUCUUUUAUUUGAUAGGUUGACUACAAAAAUUUCAACUGCGAUAGCAUUGUAAAUGUGAUUUAUUCAAGUUUUCUAUUAUUGUUCUAAUGAUAAUUUCAUUUUAAUUUCGUGAAUUGAUCCAAUAAAUUGAAAAAAUUGUCGUCUUUCAAGUUGAUAGACAAUGAAUUACUAUCUCCGUCAUCACCUACAACCCUAUCAAUCUAAAAAUUGAUGUGAAAGUCUCUCAAGUCAACGUUUUCGAUGAGAACUGUUGUGUUUUUAAGUUGAUGUAGACCACAAGUAAUGUAUUACUACAUCAAUUUAUAAGUAAAACUGUUAUUGAAUAAUUACAUACACAACGGUACACAACGGUGUAUCUGGUGCUAACGGUAUGUGCUGCAUAUAACUACAAUGGGUUUUAACUAAAGGUAGUUGUAUAUUAUUAUAAUAGACAACAAUGAACUACCGUUGUGGAGUGGAACAUAAAAAGACAACACCUGCCUAGACAACGGAUAUAAAAUUUUUUAGACAAUGGUGUCGCACCGUUGUCUACAAAGAAUAUUGUACUAGUGGUAUCAACCACGAUAUCAAUCUCUAAUGGUGUACUUACAACCUUUGUAUGUGUAGCCGUAUCAGAAACUCUAACAUUGUAUCAUGAUAUUUUCUUCAGGAGAACCAUGUCAGUUGGAUACAUGUGCAUCCCACAAAUCAAAUGAGGUAUAGAGUAUUUGAGUUAAUAUGGAUAAUCUCAUCGACUUAAAUCCAAGUUGACGUCUAUGCUUUUAGCAUAUACAUUUGUCAAGAUCUUUUAUCAAUCACUAACUGAGACAUUUCUCAAAAUCAAAAUAAGAUGAUGGAAAAACAACUCACAUCAUUUUAUAUCGUUCUUCAAGAACAAUCUCUCUCCCCCUCAUGACAAGAGGAUUGUCUCAUUAAAGUGACAACUCAAAAAUAUGUGACAAAUACGGCUAUGAGUAGGGCUAGUGGUCAUCAAAACUUGUUAUUGAUUUCAGACAACACUAUAAGUAAAAUAUGACAUAACUUGUCAUGCCAAAUAAUAUAUUUGGUUCAAUGAACUUUUGGUUCAUGAUAUUAUGUGCCUUAGUUCAAUGUAAAAUUUGGUACAAUCUAUAUCAUAUAUUAAUCGAUUUUGAACCGCAUUGGAGACACUUAAUUCAAAGAUGAUGCUCUUCUGGAGCCAUCAAUCAUAUGUGAAAUCGAAGCUUCAGGUUCGAAUUUACAAUGGUUCUCAGAUUUCGUAUGUCAAACUUCAGAUUCAAAUAAUUCAAGUGCUCAAAACUUCAGGCUCGAGUAACCCAAGUGAAAUUUCAUACGUUCGAGAUAUAAGGCUGGUGGCUCGUAUGAUCAAUAUAUAACAAUAAAAUUUAAACAAUAAGUACAAUAAUAAGAAAACUGUAAAGAGCAAAAAGUAAAUAAAUUGUUACACAUGAAACUUCUGGUUCCAUGAAUUAAUAAAAUACAUAGAUCUUCAGGUCUGGCUAACUUUAUCAAAUAUGAUAAUUUUUUAUUUCCCGAUCUCCUCUAGUUACAUAAGAACGUAAUAUCAUAUAAGGCGAGGAACUUCGGGCCCUCAUAUAACUAGGGAUCACAAGAUGUGGUUCCGUCAUAUUAUAUAUGACUUUAAAGGACUUUUGGCUCUCCUUAAUUGCAUGAGUUUUGAGAAUCUUCAUAUUGCAAUUUCAUUAUAUUACUCUUUAAGGAUCUUCAGGCCCUCCAUAGUUCGAUUAAGAGACUUCAGGUCUCGAUCUAUGAUCACAAAACUCAAACUAAUUGUAAACGUGAGUUUGUUCUCAAUUCAGAAAAAUAAAAUUGUAUCGGGUAAUAUACCUAUUGAAUCCAAAUAGGUACCUAUUAACGAACACAUAAAUAAAUUCAAAAGCUCUAGCAAAGUAGCAUGAUUUUCACGCCAAUGAGUCCAUAAAAAAAAUCAAGGGUAUAUGUUGGCUAUGCUAGCAGAGAUCUAUUAGAUCACUCAUAAUUUGAUUCUAUAUACCAUUGAGUACCAAAAACAUGGGUAGCUUGCUAUUGAAUAUCACAAACCAUGGCUACCUAUGAGAGGUGUCUAUACCGUAUAGAGGAAAGUAAAACUAAGAGCAGAGUCACAAUUAAACGAAAAGCAUGAACAAGGGUCGAACAUGUUUCUUGAAGCAGAUAACGAAAAAUGUUUCUAUCACCACCCACAAAAAGCAAAGCAAUUUUACAAAUCGAGAUACAUCCAUUCGGUCACAAAAUCGAAACCAAGAUCACCACCAAAUAUUAACAAAUUAAAAUACAGUAGAAUAAUUGAAACGAGUCUCUAACCAUAUUGAUUGACUAAUAGAAGAUUUAAAGAUAACAUAGAUCGGUUAAACUAUUAUCAGAGAUAUCGAAAAACUCAUAGAUCAAGAGAGUUUAUGGCCAGACAACAAAAUCACCCCAUAUGACUCAUGUAUCAUCAUAGAGUACAAUAAUAAAAGUAGAAAAGCAAAGUAUGAUCAUGUAAAGGUGAACGGCUAAAAAUAGUUUUGGUUUUCUAGGGUUGGUCGUUAUCAACUCAAGGGUAGAGUCGUGCUGAUAACGUGUUAUAAAUUAAAGGAAAGAAGAAGAGAAGACACAUAGAGAAUAGUUGGGAGGAGGUAGAAGUAUAUUCAUUCAUUCUCCUUAGCCUCCUUAUAUAGAGGUAGAGUUUACAUCAGGGUAUAUAACUAAUGAGUAAUUAUGUGAACAUCUAUAUAGAUUAUAAUAUUUAUAACACAAUUUACAUUGUAAGAAUGUGUUUUUUUUCCGUCCGUUCCUAAUAAAGGUAAAUGUGAUCCCCUCAUUCAGUUUUCAAUCCACAGAUCUUAUUUUUUCUUUGUGUGACUGUGUGUGCAGGCAAACAUGGUAAGAGAGAAGGAAAUGGUAAGAAAUGGUGGCAUGAACUGGUACAACAACCAGCCAGCCUCCGACUGGUACAGGCUUGAUGUAGCUCUGUAGCUUAUACCGGAUGCAAGGAUAGCAGGACAUAAGCGGUAAUUUUACUUAAAAAAAAAAAAAAAAUAAGAAAAUGAUGUAAAAUGACUGGAAUGGAAUAAAUCAAACAAUUUGACGGAAUAAAUAUAUAUUAUUCUUUAAACUAAUCUCCCGACAUCCACUAUCUAAUAAAGUAGUAAAGGAAAGGAUACGAUUCGUUUUGUCGUGUAUCUGGGUUUUAGAGUGAGACCACAGUGACAGUCUCCACUCUAUCUCUUGCUCUCUCUUCUCUACUAAGAGCCGCCACCUUCUUCUUCUUCUUCUUCAUCUUCCUGAUGUCGUCUUCUCCUGUUUCACCGUCGAUGGAGUCCCUCAUCCUCCAGCUCCACGAAAUCUCCGCCGUCAAAUUCGGCAACUUCAAACUGAAAUCCGGCAUCUCCUCCCCAAUCUACAUCGACCUCCGCCUCAUAGUCUCCUACCCUUCCCUCCUCCGCCAAAUCUCCCAAACCCUAAUCGCCGCCGUCCCCUCCUCCACCCCUUACGACCUCCUCUGCGGCGUCCCCUACACCGCCCUCCCCAUCGCCACCUGCAUCAGCACCUCCCGCGACGUCCCCAUGCUCAUGCGCCGCAAGGAGGUCAAGGACUACGGCACCGCCAAGGCCAUCGAGGGCGUCUUCACCCCCGGCCAGGUCUGCCUCAUCAUCGAGGACCUCGUCACCAGCGGCGCCUCCGUUCUUGAAACCGCUGCGCCGCUCCGUGCCGCCGGCCUCAAGGUCUGCGACGCCGUCGUUUUGAUCGACCGCGAGCAAGGCGGGAGGGAGAAUCUCGAGGAGAACGGGAUCAGGCUGCACGCGCUGUUCCGGCUGAGCGAGAUGGUUAGGGUUUUGAAGGAGAAAGGGAAGCUGGCGGAGGAGACGGUGGGGGCCGUGCUUAGGUUUCUGGAGGAGAAUCGGAGAGUGGCGGUGCCGAAAGUGGAGAAGGAGAAGGUUAGGGUUAAGGGGUUAGGGUUUGAGGAGAGGGCCAAGCUGAGCAAGAAUCCCACGGGGAAGAAGCUUUUUGAGGUCAUGGCGCAGAAGAAGACCAAUCUCUGCUUGGCUGCUGAUGUUGCCACCGCUCAGGAGUUACUCGCCAUUGCUGAAAAGGUAAAGAAUUCCAUUCCAAUUUUGAAUUUUUUACAUUUGGCUGGAAAUUUUUACUACGAGUUGAUUUUGAUGGAGUGAUGUUGACUAGAGUUUGACCUGUUUUGAGAGAAUUGACUGAUUCACAAGCUGAGCUAACUAUUUUUUUAUUUUUUAUUUUAAAAGAAGCUCCUUCUCCUAUUCACAAUAGGAAAAGAAAGAUUGUCACCAAAAGAAAAUUAUCUCAUCAAUUGAGUUUGUGCUGACCUCCUGAUUUUGUUGAUAUGCUUUACUGAAAUAGUGUGUCUGUGUUUGUAAUCUAGAUGAUGCUAGUUUAUUAAUGCCGCCGCAUUUGAUAAUAUUUAGUAGAAGUUGAUGCCUUGUAAAUGUGAGCCACAUUUCAGUUAUGUAGUGUGGGUGGAGGUUGAGAGAAAAUUGACAGUUGGAGAGAUGGAUGAGCAGAUAAGCUUGCUUGCUUUGGGUUAAUUGAUCUGAUCUUUUAGUUUCUUUGAGUUCUGAUAUCCUCAUUUGAAUGCAGGUUGGGCCUGAGAUAUGCUUACUGAAAACUCAUGUUGACAUACUGCCUGAUUUUACUCCAGAUUUUGGCUCUAAACUUCGCUCGGUAUGUUUAAAGAACUAUUUUUCUUGUUUUCUUAUCAAUAUAUUCAAUGACUGUUAUGCUGUUCAUGUGGCUCUCUUAUCCUUGAUGCUAUCAAGUUAAUGAAUGGAGUUCCACAUCCAACAUUAUGCAGAAAUUCAUUUGAUUUUUGUUAUUGUUUAUUGUUUUUAGUGAAUGAGUGAGAGGUUUGUAAGUUACAUUACAAUUAUAGUUAGGGUUCUCUUUUAAAAAUCCUCAUUGAUAUUCACCGCAUCCAAUUAUUGUUAUUGUUAUUGUAAUUACGCAUCCAAUAUGGGUAUGCCCUAAAUUGCUGCUUUUGUUUUGCGUCAAAUCAUGUUUUUUUAGAAAAUGUUCCAGUCUUUUGUUCAUUUGGAACAUGGAAGUCAUUAGUUUAUCACUGAUUGGCAUUAUUUGAUUAAAAGAAUAAUCGUCAACCUUUUUAUAAUCCUGCAUUUUCAAGCAUACAUGUUAUACAGAAGUAUGAAGAUUCAUUGUUGAUUCAUAUAAUCAUCAGUAGCAAGCUCAGUACCUGAAUAUUUGAAGCCUUUUCUGCUUUUUCUGCGCAAUCUAUAUUCAAUUGUUUAGUCAAAUUUCUUUAAGUUCAUUGAAACUAUCUGCAAGUUAUAGACUUAUAUGUACUUUAUCCAUUUGCAGAUUGCAGAAAGACAUAAUUUCAUGAUAUUUGAAGACCGUAAGUUCGCAGACAUUGGUAACACAGUAACAAUGCAGUAUGAAGGGUGAGGCUCAGCUUCUUUUUUCCAUUUCUUCCCUUCUUACUUCGCCUUUUGUCAAUGUUCUUAAGUCCUGGGUUCUUUUUGCAGAGGUAUAUUCCAUAUAUUGGACUGGGCAGAUAUAGUAAAUGCUCACAUAAUCUCUGGUCCAGGGAUUGUUGAUGGACUGAAGUUGAAGGUUUGCAACUUUGCAUGCAUUGAUGAUUCAGUACAAAGCUCAAGAAAAUUCAUGUUUUAACUUUUUAGCACUCUUGUUCAUCUCUUAGGGUUUGCCUCGUGGAAGAGGCCUGUUGCUGCUUGCUGAAAUGAGCUCAGCUGGUAACCUUGCCAAGGGAGACUACACAGCUGCAGCAGUGAAGAUUGCUGAAGACCAUUCCGACUUUGUGAUUGGCUUUAUUUCAGUUAAUCCAGCAUCAUGGCCAGGCGCACCGGUAAAUCCAGCUUUCAUCCAGGCAACCCCUGGAGUGCAAAUGGUGACUGGUGGUGAUGCUCUUGGACAGCAAUAUAACACUCCAAAAUCUGUAAGUAUAUUGGUGCACCUUAAAUUUUGCAGGGUCCGCGUCUCGUUCAUGUUUGCCCUCGAUAUAAUUGUCCAGAUAGUACAUCUCCUUUUCGAUCAUUUCAAUUGUAAUUACAAUCCAUUUGAUAACUUUAUUUGUCGAUGAAAUCGUAGGACUAUAUGAUUCAUCAGAAAAGGGGAUGAUCGCUACUUUUUUCUGCAUAACAGGAUUAUUAGUUACUCGUUGGGUUUAUUUUGGGCAUUUACCAUUAAGCGAUUUAUAUGAAUCAUUAAUUUUUCUAUCGUGGGGUUUUUCCAUUAUUCAUAUGAUUCCGUAUUUUAAAAAACAGCAAACCCAUUUAAGCGCAAUAACGGCGCCAAGUGUUAUUUUUACCCAGGGUUUCACUACUUCAGGUCUUUUAAAUGAAAUGCAUCAAUCCGCGCAUAGAUAGAGUAUGGAAUAUUCAUGCUUGCAAGUUGCUGUAAAGCUUAACAUAUGAAUUAGGAAUGGGAAAAUCAUGGAGCCCCAAAAUCGUUUAGAGCGUUUUCUUUGCUGAUUGAGUAGAAGUAGAUGAAAGAUGGGAAAUUCAUUUGGAAUGGGGUCAAUGGUCAUAUGAUAACCCAAUGUGCACCAAUAUGGAGAGUUGGUUGAUUCAACCUGUUUGAAGGAGUCUCCAUAUAGUCAGAAAGGACGUGUGGCUACUAUUAAAAUUGUGCUCAUGUAUAUUACUUUGGAUAGGAUACAGUGUUAAUCUUUGUGUUCUCGUUGAAAAAGUAAUUCAGGUUGCACCAAUGGGUAGAGUUGGUUGAUUCAAGCAAUGAUGAAAGUUAUUUAAAGUUUGCUUGUUAAAUCUCAUGUUCAAAUGUAACCAGAAAGACUGUUAUUCUCUUGAUGUUGACCUGCAAUUAUCUUUGUGAUAAUUGUCUUUAUAAUUAUAUUGGCCAGAUUUCUGUGAUUGAUCCCAGUUGCAUUUCAGGUCAUAUAUGAUAGAGGCAGCGACAUCAUAAUCGUUGGCCGUGGAAUUAUCAAGGCUGAAAACCCAGCAGAGGCAGCUCAUGAAUACCGUAUUCAAGGAUGGCAGGCCUAUCUAGAUAAAUGCAGCAGCAACUAAGGUUAUUGCUCCUAGAAGAGGCUUUCUCCCUUGUUUGUCUUCUGUUAGAUUAGAUGAUUCGCUCAUUUGGAGAUGAGUUAAUUAUGUUCAACAUGAUUGUGAUUUCAUGAAACCAGAGAAACUAAGGUUUGUAGGUUGUACUACGGAUUUUGAUAUUGUUGAGUUAUAUGGGAGUUAUAUUUGGUGGGCAUAUAAUAUAAAAUUGAAUAGUAGGUGAUGUGCUUCUGUUUCCCUCAUUAAACAGAACUGAAUGUUUUAAAGAGAGGCUAAUAGCCCCUUCCAAUCAAAAACAGAAAACCCAUCAAGCUCCACUUCAUCUGAUACCAAAGAGAAGCUCCACUGCAUCUGAUACCGAAGAGAGGGUUUUCAAAAUCACUAGCUUUACUUCAUCUGAUCUGAGUAAAUUUCAUUUGAGGAAAUUUUACUAGGGAUAUUCCUGUCGUCGUUGAAUCGCUGUGGGCUUGAGGAUCUUCUGCUCCUCGGUCUCCUUCCGAGUGCUGAGCUUUUAAGCUAUCGGUGAAAAAUAAAACACAACGGGUGAGCAGCACCAAAAUGUACUAUUUUGCCCUCAUUAUGUUUAAUGGUCUCGACCUGUUUUGCUUCCAGAGAAGGCUUACGGUCCAAUUUGCAGGAUUGCGAAGGUUGAAUUGUCGGGUGGUAGCCUGAAUCACAAACUUUUCUUUCAAAAAAAUCUCUUAAAAAUCUCUUUACGGUCUUUAUAUCGUCUUGACUCAAAUUCUCUGGCAGGGUAUAUCACUCGGCUAAACACCUAACUAAUGUCAUAUACGGGCAAGUUAAGUUUACACUAUCAAAGACCUUGUUUUUCGUCCCAACAAUAUAAUUUGUAAACUUUUUGAUGCCUGCAGGAUCACAGUCAAAAAACACAUGUUGGAAGCCCAAAGUUGUCCCACAAUAGUUUUAAGAAUCUUUUGAUCGCCAUGUCGGGCGUUCCCAUUCCAGUUAUGAUUAUGUAUGGAUAAUUCAACAUAAAAUUUACUUUGCAUGAGAUCAUAGUACUUCAUUCGUAAUGAUCUCAUGGAAAAGAAGUUUUAUGUAGAUUAUCCAUGCAUAAUCAUAACAGGAAAGGGAAUGCCGGACGUGGCGACCAAAAGUUUCUUAAAACUAUUGUGGGACAAUUUGAGCUUCCAACGUAUGAGCUCUUCGACUGUGAUCCAGCAGACAUCAGAAUGUUUACAAAUCGUAUGAGCUCUUCGACUGUGAUCCAGUAGACAUCAGAAUGUUUACAAAUUAUUCUGUUGGGACGUAUAACAAGGUCUUCAAUAGUGUAAACUUAACAUGCCUUAUGUGACAUGGUUGGGUGUUUCAUACACCUUGCGAGAACUUGAGUCAAGACAUAUUAAGAACGUAACACCUGAACCUCUUAUUUAUAAAGCUAGGUUCGUGGUUACUUGCAUAUCAAGAAUAUCAGAUUUCUAUUUGGAUUAGGACAAGAUUCUCCUAACUGAAUAAUAAAAUCGAUUCCUUAUGUGAUCUUGAAUUCAAGAAUAGAUUCUCCUAACUGAAUAAUGAAUUCGAUUCCUUAUGUGAUCAUGAAACCUUCAGCCAUCAAUUACCCAUAAGAAAGCAAAAGAUAUUUAGACUGCAUGUCUCGAUCCACGUAUCAGAAAUUCAUAAUAGACUUAGAUGCGAUAUUUAGGCAAAAUCACUAGUUUUACUUCAUCUUGUCUGUUUCAAAUCGUAUUCAUAAUUCAUGCAAGAGAUUCAUGUGAAAUGUUUUUUCUUUUUAUAGAAUCCAUGUGAAAUGCUUAUUGCUAUAGACUAUGGUAAAAGGUGCGAAAAUUUCAUUUUGGUAAAAUAUAUAUAGAGAGAGGAAAUUUUACUUAGAUAUUCCUGUCGUCGUUGAAUCGGUGUGGGCUUGAGGAUCUUGUUCUUCUGCUCCUAAAUCUCCUUCUAAGGGCUGAGCGGCACAUUGACCAAAAAAAAAAAGUGGUAAGCGGCACCAGAAUGUACUGUUUUUCCCUCGUUUUGUUUUCUUAUUUAAUGGUCUCAACUCCAAUUUCGAUUUUGUUGAUCUCAGUCUCAACUCCACAAUGCAGAAGCCUUCUUCAAAAACAGAACAGAUAGAUCAGAAAACUCAUGAGGCUAAUACCCGAACGGAAUGUUUUAAACAGAAUUGAAUAGUAGGUCAUCUGAAUGUUUUCCUUGUGAAAGAUAAAAGGAUUCUCAGAAGAAGGAAAUUUACAAAACAUCUCACUUUCGGUUUAGAAUUAAUAUUAUGCACUCUAUACUCAUGAAGGCGAGCUGUAGAGGCUGCACAUACAUCCAAACUAGAAUUACUAUUACAGAAAAUUAGAUAAAACCCCAAAUUAUCAAGCCUAUAUUACUAUACAUCCAAACUAGAUAUUCUACAAUCUAACAAGGUACCAAUUGAUAAGUGACUGAAUAAUGAUAUGAAUUAACAACUUGUAGAAACUUCAAUGAUACAGUACAUCGCUUUUCAAAAUAUUAAGCUGUCCAGAAACACCGAUUUGAAGUAAUGAGAGAGAUAGAUUUAUUUUCUCUUCCUUUUUAGAGGCUCUCUUGCAUUAUCAUUUUGUCAUCCUGCAAGCCACCAUAAUAUGUUCCCUUUUCUGUCGUACCAUUACAAGCUCUCUUCUGCAAAUACAAGAGAUCCAAGCAAAUAUCCCACAUAAGAUUGAAAAAGAACUUUAACAUAAGUAUUUCAAUAGGAAGAGAAUUUGUCAAUCAAUUCGAUCAUGAUGGCUUAAAAUUCAGGAACCCAUUCCAAUCAACUGAUCGACUUUUAUACACAAAGUGAUUUCCUAUACCAAGAACAAGAUACACAAAAAUGGAACCAGCAGUGACAGAUGUUGCCACAACUUGCAGCAGCUUCAUUAUAGAACCAACACCUAAACUUUCCACCCCUGAUAUAUACCUUCAUUCAUUACCAUAUUCCUGACUCUGUCUCCAACUAUUUCAAUGAUCUGGAAAAAGUUCAACCAUCACAUGAAUCAUCAAAUAUGCAGUAAAUAAUGAAGAGCAACUAUUACUCUACUUUGCAUAUUAUUAACAACUUCAUACGAAACUACCAACAAUGAAGUAGAAAUUGAUGAGUAAGGAAACUGAUGAGGCAAUGGCGUGUUGUCAAGCAGCCGGGUUGUAGCUGGAUUGAAAUACAGGAUCAUCUGAACAAAUCAGGGCCUGCUUUUUUUCUUGAAAAUAUAUAUAUUGUUAUGAUAUCUUUCUGCUCAAUUUGAGGUAUAAGUAUGUAGUUCAAUUGUAACAGAUUAACUCUAAAAGUCAGCUUUCGAGGACCUACGUAUCCCAGUCCCAUGAUAAGGAUCUAAGUCUCCUUUUACCUUACAGUAAACAAUUGGGUAUUUUGAAUUUUUCAUACUUAUAAGAUAAGUGGAAGCUGCAAGCCUAUCAUUCUUCAUACUCCCUUCCAGGUACUACCUCUUUUAGAGAAAAACAGUCUCUGUUCACUAUGUGCUACUUGUUUUAUACUCUUAUGAUUAUUCGCUAGUUAUAUUACAAAGUAUGAUGUUAAUUAGUACCCAGUCAAGAUCAAUCUGGUAACUGCAUUAAUAGAGCAUCUGGUAUGUGUCAUAUCUGAAAUAUCUCUAUUAAUGCAGAUACCAUAUCGAUCAAAUUGUGUUGUCCUCACUUGUAUUUUUCAUUCUCUUAUUCUUUCUUUAAUCAUGUUUUUCCUUUUCUUAUUUUCAUUUGAUCAGAUUGUGUAUUUUUCACUUGCAUUUGCAGCAACUGCAAGUGAUCAACUGAUGACAGGGCUGAAAACAAUUUUACUUGCAGCCCUUGAAGCCUUUUUUACCCUUUCCAAAACAGGCCUAACAUCUCUGUCGAUAAGUUCACACCCAUCUAACUCCACUGCAUUGAAGAAUAUGUUGUGGAUAUGCUUAAGAACUUGGAGUACAGUUGCCAGAUAAGCUCUUCCAAGCGGAUCACGUUCAUCGGUCUUGGACUCAGAGUAAGGCGUGGCAUCACUGAGACCAUACUUCUGUAAACUGGACCUAAAGAAAUGGUAUCUUGGCAAUUCUAUUACAUUCGCCUGGUCCUCAUUUCUCCACAUCUGUUUCUUAUCAUCAAGGAUCACAACAGCGGAAGGUCGGGCAAGCAGAACAUCUAGCCCCUUUUGCUUGUUUACCGUGCCAUCGCUUCGCGAUAUGAUGCUACCACCAAACAUUUGAUUUGCAGGGUCAAGCAAGUUAGCCAUUUGAAGCGCAUAGCCUCCACUGCCCAUUGUGGAUAUAGAGAGCUCAAACAUUUCACUGGCUUGCUCUAAAAAUGUCCUGACAUGCGGUCUCAACUUGGUCAUCAAUUGACUUUGACUUCCCGCAAUGUGAACAUCCUGCAGAGAAUGAUCAGCCUUCAGAUAUUCUUCUUCCGGUGACAUCUUGUCAAUGUAAGUGGUAUUCAGCAGGGUGUGGUCGAGAUCGAGAACCAAAUGAAGUUUCUUAUGCUUCACCAAUAGGUUUCUAGUGAUCUCGUUGCGUAAUCGGUUGAUUACGUCAUCACUAAGCCCCAAACCCUUCCUGAUGUACCCAAAUCUCACGCUGGAAAGUUCAUCACCGGCCAAUCUCGCAUCUUGUUGAAUUCCCAGAUCAGUUUCUGUCUUGGGCCUCUUGGUCUUGUCCUGUAUGAAUCCCAGGUCGGAAACCAAACCUCGGCUCCUCUUGCGACACCCAACAAGGUUGUCGAUCGGAGACACGGUUGCCAAACUCAUCAUCAUGAUCAAAAAAUUGAACUGAGGGCAACCUGAGAUUAACUGGAUUAGGGUUUCGCAGAUGCAGAAAUUUGGGGUUUUUCGAGUUGUUUCAUAUGAGAGAGGAAACAGAAACGCAGAUCGAGCAGAGUGAGAAAAAAGAGAGGGAAAGAGGCGUCUACCUUUUAAAGACCUGUAAACGCGUUUUCUAAACGCGUCCCUUUGAUGUUACAUUUUUAAAUAUAAUUCAAUGUAAUUACUAUCCAUUUCAAUUAAAUUAUCCACUUAUUCCUCUAGCAUUUUGACCCAUACUAUGUGAAUUAUUUUUUAACUAUUAUAGUUAUGCUCAAAGUCUAAUUUCUCUCUCAUUUAAAAAAACAAAAAAAAAUCUGAUUUCCCUCCCCACUUUUCUCUCCCACCUCCCACGUUGUAAGCUUCUUUCUUUCUUUUUUUUUCCCAACAUUUGCAAUUAUUAAUUUAUCUUUCAUCUGUUAGAAGAUAUAUUUUAAAAUUUAGAGAAUGACAAACUACUACCCCAAACAUUAGCAAAACACAAAAAACUCACAUUUCAAAAGAUUUAGACAAAUAAGGACAUGAGUCCAGACCCAAAACUAAUAAUAACAUGCCUGACCCGAAUUUUAACCAUACAAUGACCAAAAUGCUAAUUUAUGAAACAAAAAUUACAAACCCCUGCCAUUACGUCUUUGUUCAUCAGAUCUGAUACNNNNNNNNNNNNNNNNNNNNNNNNNNNNNNNNNNNNNNNNNNNNNNNNNNNNNNNNNNNNNNNNNNNNNNNNNNNNNNNNNNNNNNNNNNNNNNNNNNNNNNNNNNNNNNNNNNNNNNNNNNNNNNNNNNNNNNNNNNNNNNNNNNNNNNNNNNNNNNNNNNNNNNNNUACUCUCUCUCUCUCUCUCUCUCUCUCUCUCUCUCUCUCUCUCUCUCUCUCUUUCUCCUUCCAUGGCUGUGUUCAUCGUUUGAUCAUAAUACAACUCCACUAUUGUGCGAUUCAGCAGUAUAACGUGUGCGAAGAGAUGAGAAAUUUGAGAGAAGCCAUUGUCAUUUGUCCCAAGACUUGCCGUUUGAUGAACGCAAUCCUUCACAAACCCAUCAGAUCCUGUCCUUCGUCUCAAGCCUCGCCAUCGGAGACCAUGGUCAGAACUUUUGGAAAAUCUCCUUACAAAGUACACUAUUAAAAUCCUUUUUCACUUGUUAGAGUUUCAGAUUGGGAAUUCAAAUUAAUUAUGUUGAAAUAUAUAGGUUGAUUGAGUUGCAAUGCUUAAAUCCAAAUUCGAUUCUUCUGCAAGAUACUAAAUAUGUAGUUUAAGGAAAUACGGAACUUCAUUCAUAUUAGCAAUUAGAUUAAGUAUCUUUAGAUCUGUUCUAGGUACCAUGCUUUGGAUGAGGACAGUAACAACUAAGAGGUGAGCAAUAGCAGCUAUCUUCACAGACGACGAGGCAGUAGCAGCUAGAUAGAUCAAAGAUCUGAAAGUGAAGGUAGUAGCAGCUAAGGGUGAAUUUUUCUAACUUCACAAUGAGCAGUAGCAGCUAGCUUCAUCUUCAUCUUUGGUAGUAGUAGCUAGCUUCACCGUCGGCAGUAGCAGCAAGAUUGGACGACGCAAUAGUAGUGAGAUUAGACGACCAAUACAGUAGCAGCAAUAUUUUGACAUUUUGUUCUCCCCCAAAUUUUAGUAAUACACAGUAAUAGGGCAGGGCUAACAUGCUACUACACUAACUGAACCACUAAAAACUUGUUGCAACUGCACAUACUAAAAAUAGCUGAUACUACAUUAGCUGAGCCACUGAAAACCUGUUACUGCACUCACUGAAACUGUUACUACACUAGCUGAACCACUAAAACCCUACUACUACAUCUGUUGGAAGUGUAGCUUUCCAGCAAAACAUGAUACUACAUUAGCUGAGCCACUGAAAACCUGCUAUUGCACUUACUGAAGCUGCUACACUAGCUGAACCACUAAAACCCUGCUACUACUUCUACUAGGAUGUUAACCCCUGCUACUACUUCUAUUGGAAUUAACUACUACUACACUAAGUUAUUGAAAACCUGCUACUGUAUUCCAUUUACUGAAAAAUCUCAAAAUGAGAGACUUUUCUCUUCUAAAAACAUAUUUAAUUUCUCUUCUAAAAGCAUAUUUAAUUAGUGUAGGGUUAGUUUGGUAAAUUUAACCAUGACACAUGACAUGCAGAGAAAAGGUUGUCCUUAAUUGUUAAAAACUGUGCUUAUUUGUUUAACAACAACACAAGACACAAGUGGAUUUAUUUGUGUUUCAAAUCCUUUUGGAAGAUAUAUAUGUGAUUUAUUUUUAAAGUUUUAAUCAAUCAAGGACAUCAUAGGUAGUUCAAAAAUUUAAUCAUUGACAAAGUCAAAAAUGCCUUUUGGCUUUAUUAAUGGAGAUUUUUUUGGUUGCAAUUUGCAAAGUUCCUUCACUAAAUCCGCGAUAAAUGGAGGCCACUAUGAUGUAAGUUUUCUAAUUUCUAAUGAAAUGAAUCCUUUACUAUCAAAAAAAAAAAUACCGCAGAUCAGAUCAACCCGAGAUUAGGGUUCCGUAGAUCAAGAAAAAUUGGAUUAGGGUUCAGUAGAUCAAGAAAUUUGGGGAAAGAGAGAUGAAAGAGAAAAAUAGAAACGCCUUGGUGUUGAAAAAGAAUUAAAGAGGACCUGGUGAGUUAAAUAGACGAGGGCCUGUGAAUCCAAAUCAUAAUAAGAUUAAGAUUUAGGAACACAUUUAGUGAAGCCCUUCCUUUCUCAGAUAUUUACCGAAGCAUGUUGGAACACCGAAACCCUAUAAUUCUUAUGUAUCCUGUUCUUUAAUAUUUUUUUUUCUUUUUUUUUCUUUUUAGUGUGUAUCCUUCAUAUUAUUCUUUCUACAUACAAUUAUCAGUUUUCCCACCAUGUUAUCACAUCAUUUUACCAAUGACACAAAAUUUCAGUUUUCUCACCAUGUUGCCACUAGAGAAACUACUAUCACUCAAUGACUGAAGUGCACAGGUUGGUACCACCAUUGUACAUGUAUGGUUGAUCUACUACUUGGUCGAGCUGGUUGCCUUGAUGAAGCUAAGAAUUUUAAUAUAAGUCAAGCCAAUGCAACCUGGUCUAGUGAUAUGGGGUUCUUUGCUUGCUGCUUGUGAAGUGCAUUGUAAGUUUGUAACAUUACUUUAGGGAAAUAGGUGGGGGAGAAGCUAUUACAAAAUGGAUUAUGUGAUUUUCUGUACUGUACGUAUUGAUCUCCGGCAUCCAGGGACUGGCUUAUUCUACAUAUCUCCGUUACCAUCCAUUCCGAUGGAUCGAGGAGCUGGAGUGAGAGACGAGCCCUCCAUAUCUGGUAUAUCAUAUGACCAAUUGGGAGUACAAUACCAACAUCUUUUCAAUUACUUACUAAAAGAGUUGGAGGAAUAUAAACUCUCGGAAGCUCUAACGAUUAAGUGGUCUUUGUGGAAGAAUAGAAACUCUAGGAAGCUUUAUUUUUUAGCACUUUAUCUUAGCAUUGGUUAGUACAAUCAGUUUUGAAAAAAAGGCAAAUAGUUGCAGAGGGAGGCCGGAUCGUGAAAUGGAAAGAAACCAUGAGAGGAUUGGUACAAAUAUAGCGCUGUUGGUGCAUAUAUUCCAUGAACACCGGUAGGGGAGGCAACGGUAUGAACCGUAUGAUUCUACGCAAUGCAUUAGGGAACUUGGUUGCCGGAGCAGCCAAGCCUUGUGUUGGACAAUGCUCUGAACUCUAAACCAACAUGAAGCUGAUCUCUCUAGUAUGAGGUUUCUUACUGUUGAAGUGAAGGAGACUAUGCAUAAGCAUCAAAGCAUGUGGCGUUCAAGGUGGUUCAUAUUCGACAUGAAGCUUAUAAAGUAGCACAUGUAGUGUUAUAUACACUUGGUUUGCUACUGCUCCCCGAAACCACGAGGGAUGCCAGUCUAAGCAUAUUCUUUCCAAAAAAAAAAACAACAACAACAUCUACUAGAAACAGUAAGCAAUGCACCAAAUACAACAGACUACAAUUCAGUACGGUAGAGUACAUUCAUUCCGAUUGAAUUUGUACAAUAUCGUCAGACAUGCACCUAAAUCUUGUAAACAUCCAGGAGACCUGAAAGAAUAUAUUUCGGCCAUCCAUGUUAAAAUGCUCUAUUCUUUGUGGAUUGGUAGUUAAUGGUUUACUGCUGUACAUCAGAAGCAUAAUUACAGACAGACCUCUGAUCUAUUCCACGACUAACAAGUUAUUUCUCAUUAAUCCCUCACCGACUGUAGGAAACUCAGGUGAAAGCUUCCAUUCUCCAUCCACCAAGAACUUGAUUUCAUACCUUUGAAUCACAAAGUUAUGAGUUAGAGUGAAUAAACAGAGGAAGAAGCGGAAAUUUAUGUGACUAGUACCUUCCAGGUCUCAACACUAAUGUUGUUGAGAACGUUGUAAAAGAACCCGUAUAAUGCGGGGAUAAAUUCUCUCCUUGACUCCAACCAUCAAAAGAGCCCAUAACUUGCACAUUCUGUGAUGCCAAAAUAAAGAGAACUAUUAAGUUCUAUACCUAAAUGUCUAACAAAAAAUCAGCUGAACAUUAAAAUUUCAUUCCACUUCUAAUGUGCCAGCUUUUGCAAUUUCAGCUCAGCUAAAAACGUUCAAAUUUUGGCUGCAGAACCAGGCCAUCAUUCAAACCAUUUGAAUAUGAGACUUUAGGCCUUGAAACUGGGAAAAACUACUCAAAUGGGAUUUCUUCAAGUCAGUUUGACUGUCAAUCACCCCUACUUUACCCUCUUUUGGUCAUCUUUUGAUCAACGCAUCUUUUGGGUAAAUCACAAAAACAUGGUCUUAUAAACUUGACCUUGCUUUUAUCAUAAACUAACUAAUAUUUAUAAGAUACAUGCAAACCAGUAUGUCAUAUUGAUCCGUAUGACAAGAUACAUGCAGUAUAAAAUUUCAAAAGGUUUAGCACCGGACAACUUAUCCAUGAGUCAGCAAUCAUCAUGUUUUAAAGGUCUUCCAUUUGAUAAAUUUAAGCCUUACACAAUCAGUCCAAACUUGCAUUUUUGAGGUAGUUCAAAAAUACAUGCACUGGAAAUAACUCCAGGUCUCCAGCAUAUAUGUUAGACUUAUAAUUCUCCUUGUUAUCUGUUCUCCUUAAAGUCAUUUUCAGUUAAUGUGAUAAACAAGAUUUUUGAAGUCCUGAUCAUCCUUUAACCCAUUUCCUUCCUAGUGAAGCGACCCAGUUUGUCAAAUUUAAGAAAAUCAAUGCCUAUUACCGAGCUCCAAUGUGAGAAGACAGGAAUCACAAAAGAAUGGAUUGUAUGUUUACCUCAGCCAUACCACACCAAAAUACGGAAACCUCCUUUGAUUGUGCAGCAUCAACAUCCUUAAUUUGUUCCUUUAACUUCUCAUGAACAGCUUCACACACAUCAGACAGAUGAAACAGUAUCUUUGUCAGAGAAUAUGAAAGUUUAAACAUAGAAUAACUAUGUGGCAGCCUUACCAUUCCAAGCAAGUUACAAAGAAAACAAGUGAAAAGAUGACUCGUCCAAUCAGCUACCUCCAUGAAUUUAAAUAAUCACCCAUAUACUUUAAGGGACAUCAGAAGUGCCUAAAGAAAAGAAGGAAUUCUAUCUCCUUUUGAGUCAAAGCCAAUAACUAAGUUUAUGUUGUAGAUUGCUAGCUUUACACAUUAAGUUCCCUAUUUACAUUGUUCUUUUAAACUUUUAUCUUUGUAUGUAGACAACCCCUCCCAAGAAGCUUUUUCAUAAAAAUAUUCUCAAUUUAGCAGGAGAAUCUAGCACCUCAUGAUGAAGGAAUUAAGAAGUCAUGCUUGAGAAAGUUACCUGCUAAACGGGAAAGCAGAUGAGAUGGGAUGUAUUUUCCAUUAAUCUUUCUUGAACCAACUGGAAUGACAGAUUUAGCAUUUUCUUCUGCCAAUGCCACCAAAGCCUGCCAUCAUAACAAGUAAAGGAAAUCAUGACAACACAAGUCUUGGACUUUAUCCAAUUACGUUAUGCAUCAAAACAUUCUUUACCAUGAGUAAAUUUUGAUCUAGAAUGUAUUUCAAGUGCAGGACUUCCUUUACAAAUCUCAACAGUCUCCGCCAAGUUUUUCGAAGAAAGUUUCAUAUGAGUGUAAGUUGAGCCAUAUGGGUUUGUUUGGUUGGCCCAAACAAAAUAAAAAUAUAGGUGAAACUUGGGAAGUAACUACGUUUCUUUUUUCUUUUAUAUCUUUCCUUCUUCUUUUGAAGUUCGCAUACCGAGAUAGUUAUGCGUCACAGUCACAGGAAAGCAGACUCUAAACUUCCUCAGUAAUCCCAUCUUCCUUGUAUGACAUAAAUUGUGACCAUAAUCACAAGAACUAUUUAAGUACUUGUAAACAUGUAAGAAAAUCACUUCACUGCACCUACUAGCUAAGCAACAACAAAACUUUGAUAUUUCGGGAUUCUUGUUCCUGAUAUCCAAACACAACUGUGACAGGUAGUCUUCUUGUUUUCAUUUUAUUUUUUAUUUUUUCUCUUUUGGACAAUUGACAAGUAGUCUUCUGAAGUCUUGUUCCUACUUACUUUUUCUUAAGAAAUAUAUCCUCCUAUAACUUUCUACACAAUCAAAUAUUAGCUUGUUAUUUUAGAACAAUUACCUCGUCUUUCAUAGGUCUGAUUGACCCAAAGCAUUUGUCUGCCCUGCCACCAAUCCUAAGCCUAUUGUUAUCCAUAUCAUGUUUGAUGUUUCUAUUUGUUUACUGCUGUACAUCUCUGGUCUACUGUACGCUGCUGCCUAAGUUGUUGUAGCAGUGUACACACUGCUACAACAACUUAGGCAGCAGCUUAUCAUUCUCUCCUAUACGAAUAAUAAUCUCAAAACACUUUGUGUAAUAAUCCUAGAACCUCCACAUUUUCUAAUUCUAACAUUUCUAAGAUACUUCAUGUGACAUUGUAUCUAGCAUCUCAAAGCAGAGUGGCUGUGGGAAAGGAUUACUAGUUUCAGACCAGUAUUGAAACCAAGCCAUUACAGACAUGUAUGAAACUCCACUCACAACAGGAUAUGAGUAUCAAUAUUAAAAUCAAGAUGAUAAUUAUUUGCUCCUUCCGAAAUGGCCCUUGAAACUACAUCAGUUUCUUAUUUACAAAAAGAAUUGAUAUCGUGUUACAACUGUCAAACAUGGAUGCAAGAAUCCUGAAUAGCAGCAGCAUUGAUCUCUUGGGAUUUGAAUUAGUCACAUUUGAACCAUGUAAUAAUUUCAGAUAGAACUAUAGAAGUCAAUUGUUCAAUGACAGCAAGUCUAACCUGAAUUUCAAGUUCAAUGACAGCAAGUUCACUUUUGAAUUUAACCAACGCAUCCUCCUGUACAUGCAACUGCAAAAAUAAGAAAUCAAAACCACAAAUGUCACUUUGCAAACUAAUUUCUAAAAACUAACUAGUUACUUAAUGUGUAUUAAAACAUAUUCUCUUUAUAGGCACACCUGAAAAUUCCACUCACGUGUUUGUUAAUUAGUAUAUACACACCUGUCUUUUGAGGAAUCGGUUUUGUUGAUUGGCUUCACUUAGUUUUCUAAGGAGCUUCGUUCUUUCAGAAUCAGCAAGUAAGGACUUCAACUGAUAUAUAAAUAAAACAUCAGUUAGUUCUAUAGAUCUCAAUAGCUAAUCUGUUAGUCAACAAAUAUAGUGUUGCAUAUUCAACCCAAUCAAAUCAACGCCAACAAUAAAAAAUAUUAGUAUCAGAACUGCAGGCUAAGAUUCUAACACUACAUAAGAAACAACAUGAAAUAUAUUAUUGCAUCAUCCUGUUGUAUCAGACGAUACAGAUAAACAAAAUUGGGAAUUUACGGCAGAGUUAUAUAAGGAACCUAUGAAAUCGAUGUCAGGGAUAAUCAUUAGUAUUGGAGCUGCAGCUAAGUUGUCAUUCAUAUCCUACAAGAGUAAUAAUUCCUUCAUCUGGUCACUCACAUCUACUGAAACAAUAUGACUAAAGACAUCAUAAGCAAAAUAUAAGGAGGAUUAGAACUCUUGCUUGACACCCACUAUUCUUCUGUCCUUUUACUGUACAUUCAUGGUAGACCCAGAACACAGCCACAAUUACAGUAAGUGAAGCAGGACUUAGAAUCUCUAUAUAAGAGCAGUUCAAAAAACCAUGUACAAUUAAGAAACUUUCUUCACCCACAGAUAACUCUAUCCACUUUUUCUAUCGUGAAUCUCAAAUCACUAAAUUAAGUUAAUUAGCAUCACAUUUUUUGUAUAUAUCUACUAUCUACUGAAUACGUAGUAGACAAUAUAGUAAAUCUCUAACCAGAAUACAACAAACCUAUACAAUGGACAAAUGUGCAAGAGAAAAUAAGAGAGGGGGUGGGUAUUUCGUGAAACACCGAGGAAACCCAAGCACAUAGAUCAAAGUGAUACCAACACCUUGCCCUAAAAAAACAUCAAAAGUAUUUUUAUUCAUUUCCAGCCACACUACCCAGAUAUUACUAUGCAUGAGGCAAUCUUUUUAAUUUAGCACCAUCAGAAGUCAAAUCAGUUAUAUAGUUAAAUACACCUUCUCGAUCAAGUGGUGAGUUUCUGAAAAUGAUUAAGCCUUUAGCUAAAGAGGUCUUGUUUUCAUUUACUUUGGCAAAAGGUUUGAACCAUGAAAACAGCAUCUGACCAAAACUGGGACACAUUUUCUGUCUUGAAAAAGACAAAGUUCUAGGUGAAAAGAAACCUAAAAAAAUAAUAGAUAAGUGAAGAAUGAGUUAUGUCAAACGUUAGCAACUAAGAUAAGAUGCAAACUGCCACUACAUUUUCUUCAAGACCAAUCAAAAUUGUAAAGAGUCCACAUUGUGAACUCAAAUUUCAGACCAAACUUAAAAACCUUUCUGUGUCUACUAUAAUAGCACCAUAUGAGAAUUCUUAAAGGGUAGCCAUGAAUGAGACAAGAAGGGAAAAAGGAACUCCAUGGAUUUGAAUGUUGUCAAGGAUCCCUUUUCAGUAAAUUGAUAUGACCCGUUACUAUAUCCAUUAGCAUAGUUCAUUCCAAUUUCUAGAUUUCGCUAAAUACUUUUAAAUGAUAGAUGGAUUAGAACAGUGGAGAUAGUAAGUGUGGAAUGAAGGAUGUCAACUUCUCUUUGUAAAUGAGUUUACAGUGUAACAUAUCAGUGCGUGAUAAUACCUCAUUACUUGUUAAAGAUUGAGCAAGAACCUCCUGCCCUGAAUCUUUAACAUCAUCAUUGCUACCAUAAGCUUCUGCUGGUACUGAUGACGACUGCUCCAUACUAAUGGGAAUUGAAUAUCUUCUCCACAAGACAUGAUUAAGGGAAUGCCUCCCGGUGAACACUUGAGAUUUUAUCAACCUCUGAUAACCCAACUUUAAAUUCCAAGCAGUCACAGUAUACGGAGGUGAGUGCAUAAUUUUCCAAUCCAAUUUUCUUGAAUUUUUGCUCGACAACCACAGCACUUGUUUCUCAAGGCAACAGCUAUCCAAACAAUCAAAAAUAUUAAAACAAAGUUCACAAAUGCCCAAGUACAAUAACAAUUCAGAGAAAGUGGAAAGACUAAAAUCGAGAUUAUGUUAUCAUAUUCAGCAACACUAAACUAAGCGUCUUGGAGAAAUAAUGAUAUCAUAAGUUCAUGCAAACAACUGGGUAAAAGUACAAAAAUCUUUUGCUGAAAUGCAGGAAUCAAGUAGACUUAUGAAUCAAUGUGAAGAAAGCUAACCUCGUACUACUGAUGUCCAUGUCGAUAGAUUAGCACUCCUGCAAAAUAGAGCACAAGAAAAUAUGAGAAAACAAUUCUCUGAAAUCAAAUUGACCCUCCAACAUUGUCAUUGGUGGAGAAAAUUGGUGAACUCAGAACCUCUGUUUAUUUACUUUCCUCUAAAAUGGAACUGAAUAUGCUAAUACUUAUGCUUAAUCUUAACAGCAAAAUCCAAUUUCCAACACAGAACACUUGAACUGGGGUUGUUAUUCAGAAAAUGUUUCAUACCAAAUCCCAAAUACUUAAUUUUUCUUAUUGAUUAACACCCAGAAACAAAAGUUGGUUCUUUGUCAAUGAGUUGAGGUUAAACCCAAUAGCUAGAUCGAUACCCCUCAAUUGAAUUCAUAAAAAUGGAAAAUAAAAGGACUUACUGAGAGAGAGAGAGAGAGAGAGAGAGAGACGUCCCACGCAGCGAGCAGCUCGUGGUCAACAAUCUAGAGAGAGAGAGAGAGAGAGAGAGAGAGAGAGAGAGNNNNNNNNNNNNNNNNNNNNGAGAGAGAGAGAGGAAUGUGUAGUAGUGAUGUGGAGCAGCGUAGCCGUGGUGUAUGCAAACUAAAAUGAAUGAAAUAUAUGAGGCCAAUCAAAUGGUGCCACGAGAAACUAUGGCCUUUUUAUUUGCUUAAUCUUUGAUUUUAAGGAUUAAGGCCAUGUACAAUUGAAGCCACAAGUAGCGGCCGGCCGACAACUUGCCCACGGUGGUGCCGCCAUAGGGGAUCAAAAUAAAAGGUUAACCUUUCUCCUUUGGUUCUAGGAAGCCACUUUUGUCUUGUACAUUAAUCAAGUUCUCUAUGAUUGCAUUGCUUUUGUAUCACAAAGCAAAGCAAAGCGAAGCAAUGGAUUGUGUUCUAUACCAUGGUGCAUUAUUAUCAACCGCAGGUAGCAUAAGAGUUCUUAGCUGAAACAUGUGGUACGAUUAGGGCUUGUUUCAUUUUCACCCUAAAUCACACAAGUUUCUUUUCCACUAUUAAAUCACUUCUUCUGUUCAUUAAAGUUUCUACAGUUGAACAAUAUAUAGAGUUUGCUUAGAUUUGGGCCAAAGAUUCACUUUUAGAAGAUCUAGCUAGCACUUCAACAUCCUGCAACAGAUGAGAAAUGAGACGCAGCAACAAGAAUAAGCAAAAUGAGUUCAUGUAUGGCUGAAAUUACAGCACAUAAAUGAUAAAUGUCGCUUCUUAACUAGAACACGGGACAGUAAUAAUAUAAUUUGAUUACAACAAAGGGAGGCAAGUAAUAGAAAUAUAGAAUCAUACGUGAUAAAGUGUCAAAGCAAGUAAGGAUUUCAACUGAUAUGUAAAUGUAUUAUGAGGUAGAUCGAGAGAUCUUAGAAACUAAUAUGUUGAAAUAUUAGCAUGAAUCAUGUCUCUGUUCUCUUAUUUUUGGGUACAUAUACUCCUUGAGAUAUGGUAAAACUGAAGCUAGCAACUAAAAAAUUAGAGAUUGUUUGCGCCUACAGACAGGCUUGUAGGUCUAUAUAUGUUGUCAAAGUGGAAAUGUUUUGCAGUAUAAAUUUACAUGACUGUAAAAUGAAAGCAAGGAAAAGCAAAAACAGUUUGAAGAAGAAAGGUAUUGAAACUACACAACAACUUCACCUUUUAUUACAUACUAAUGUUUGCACAGAUUAAAUCUUGUUCUCGGUCUACCUAGAGAUCGAAAAGCCUAGAUCAUGUGUGUGCUUGGUACCUGUUACAUAGUUUGUGGCAUAAGGAAAACUCCAAACAGCCAUUCUGCAUUUCUGCAGGUAAUGAAGAGAAGCUGAUAGAAACAGUGUAAAUACCCUAGCUCUAGGAAUUAUCUCUCAUACACUAGUGUUUAACACUUUCUAAUUAUUCACCUUCGACUAGCAGUGUUCAUUAGCGAAUAGAUCAGAGUAGACUUGGACAACUGAGGUUCCUUUUCGAGAACAGCAGUCACAUCUUUAACAGAUAUACUCCUCAUACUAGCCACCUUUGUUUGAGGCUUCAUCAUAGCUUCGGCCUUCCUCCCAAACUUUCCAACAUCACUCCCAGCUUUAGACACCGAAUCAUUGUUCUUCGCAUUUACAUUCCCAUUCAUUGUUCUUCCAAUAGUUGGUGCAGCCUUGUGGUUUACAUCUUUCUUCUGCCGGGCUAGCUCCGCCUUAAGUUGCCACUUUGCCAAUAUGUCAUGCCCUCCAACCGCCGCACGAGCAGCGACAUUCGCUUCCGCUCUAUUUUUCCUCAUUCUAUCAUCCCCAUCAUCAUUUCUAUCCUUAACUCCAUUAGCUUCAUGAAUCUUCUGAGCCUUUCGUGCCGCUGCAGCCUGCGACUCUUCCCUAGCUCUCUUGUUCAGAGCCAUAAUUUCCUGCCUCACAUCAGAUGUAUUCACAGUGUUACAAUGCCUAGAUUUUUCGCAAUCGACACGCUGUUUCGACUCUCGAAUCAAAUUACAUAUGAUCCCUCUCAUUCUCUCCUCCACACACAUCGACACACACCUCUCCACAUCUCUCUCAACUCCCAUUCUAAAUCCCCACCUCCCCAUGAUCCCCGCCAUCUUUCUCCUCAACGCAUUCUUCUCCAAAACCAGCCCUUCUUCCUUUUCUUGGAACGCAAGUUUUCGAGGCUUAAAUCGAUCCUUGUUGUUGGGCCCAGAAAGCAUGCGGUCUUGCUCCUCCGCAAGAUUGACUCCGCUGACCGAAACGACGUCGCGGAGUUGCUCAAUGCCUUGUUGAUCUGGGUCGACUGCCUCGUCAUCGUGAGGUAACUUUCGCUUCUUGCUUGGCCCCAUUGAAGAUUUGGGUUCUUUGAGGAAUUUGAUCGAACAGAGAUUUGUGUAGGGGAUUUGGUUUUAAUGAUAGAGAUGAUGUUGCGAAUGUAUAAUUCUGACGACAAAAGAUGAAUUCUUCAGAACCAGAAACCUUACCCACAAAGACAAAGGUAAACCCAAAACUAGCUAGGCAAUGCUUUUUAUAGAGGUUGGGAAGGCCGGAGCUCUAUUUAAUUUUUUAUUUUUUAUUGAGCUCUAUUUAAUUAGGGUUUCAUAUCUUUAUAUUUAUUUUCGUUUUUUACUUUUUCUUUUUCUUUUUAAAUUUUUAAACUUUCUAUUAUGUCCCUAAUUUAUUAACACGCCUAUAAUUUUCUUAACAAAGGGUAAAACUGAUAUUAUAUAUAAAAUUGGAAAUAACUACCCGCUAAAUUUUUUUUUAAUUAUUUAUUUUACAUAAAUUUCCAAAGCAAAAGGCCAAAUGGGGGCCAGUAUGUUAGAAAAAAGAAAUUGUCACUUUGUUGAAGGAAUUGUCACCUUCUUGAAAAUGUUUGAAAGUGUUCAUAUGUGUAAUUGGCCCUAAUUCCUUUUGGAAUAACGUCAGGAAGUUUUUCUAGUCUUCAGAGCUGUUGAUGAUCUAUGAUGUAUAUAUAUAAUCGACUUCUUUUUUUUUUACUUUUUUAAAAAAAAAAAAAAAGAAAAAAAGUGAAUCUUCUUUUGCUUGGAAAAGUGUCUUUCACUCUAGAUCUUUACUUACUCAAAUUAAGUAUCAAAUGGAAUAUUAGUAAUGGCAAGUAUUAAUAUUAAUUGUUUGGCUCAUCUUUAAAUGGGUCUAUUUUGGCGGCCUUAGGUCAACGUUGGCCUCUUGGCCAUGCCGAUGCCUCACGGUUUUGCUAUUGGACGGGAUUUGAAAUUUGACCGACAGCUUAUUGAGAGAGAAGGACCGGCGAGAGUUGUUGGUUAAAGGUUUUCCAGGGCAGCUGGAUUGUAAGGCAUGGUCGGAUUCGCUGAUCGCUUUCUUGAGUUUUGCGUUUCUUCAUCUGAAAUUUCCAAAUCUUGUGGCUUGCAAUGAGGCUAAGAUGAUUGGGCAGAUUGAUGAUGGUGUGUGUAACUGUUGUGGAUCUUGUCAGACUGUGAUGGUGACGUUGUUGGGCAACUCUGUGGGAUUUCGUGGAGGUAGCAACGGAGACGAUGAGACGGUGUAGGACGGGUAGUGGUCGACGAGGGAGGGUGGUUUUGGUGGUGGCUGGCACGGGUCAACCUUCAACUGGGUUUUCAGCUGGGCUUUAUGUUAAGGUUGUUUUGGUUUCUAAGUUGGGCUACGGUUUUUUGCCGUAGUCCAAUUUUAAGUAUUUAGCUAGUCUAUUUACAGUAAUUCUUUUUGUUAGGAACCUAAGCAUUUGUGUGUCUAAUAUUUCUUGCUUUUCUGCUAGAAAUAAGUGAAUGGAAUCUUUGUAAUGAAUGGUGCUAGCAUGCCACGUCCUUAAUAACUUGCCCAAAUGUUUGGCAAGAGAAGACAUGUAUCCAUGCUAUUCUAACUUGAGUAUCAAUGAAAUUGUCGUAUGGCUUUAUCUGUCAAAAAAAAAAAACAAUUGGGUCUACUUUUUCUCUCUGUUAAAUUUUCUUGUCAAAGACAUAAUACUGAUACUUCUUUUAGACUAUAUUGCAUAUUCUCAUUGGAAUGAAUCUAAAGUACACUAUGUUUUACUUAGAAACAUCGUUACAAAAAUAAUGGCUAUCAUAUUCCUUUCUUUCAUCAGCAAGAUGAACUGAUCAUUUUCGAAACAGAAUGAGAGCUUUUCUCUUUUUUUUUAGAGAGAGAAACUAGAUUUGAUUUUCAUUCUCAUCCUUCCUUCUUUCUCUCACCUAGAUCUUGAUUCUUUCCGGAUCUAGAUCGACGGAGGAAGAAUAGAGGGAGGCUACGAGGUUGGUUUCUGCAUUCUGCUCAUAUUCUUUUCUAGUUUUUCCUAAAUUUUCCUCACUUUUGUGAAGGCUUGUUACCCGAUUUAUGGUUUAGAUCUAGCUAUGUCCAGCACGGGAGGGCUUUGUUCCUUGUUUUCUCUCUUCUCCUCACUUAUCUGUCAUUCAAUCCCACAAGUUACCCUGUCCUCGAUCAACCACACAAUACAUCUCCUUUCUCUACCCACUUCCUCCGUAGAAGCUCCUAUGACAGCGACCACAAAGUGCAUGUCACUUCCCUAUCCGAGUAUGGGUGCUCACGUAUGGCUUUGUCACCCCCCAUUCUCUUUGGUUACGGUUACUGUCCUAGUUCUUGUUUGGUAUUCGAGAUCUUGGAUCCUUGUCGGCUGCCAUGGCUUUUUCUUGGUUUCGUGAAUGAAGAAUUCGAUGAUGUUGUGGUGGAUUUCGACCUUUUGGUUGGUGGAUUUCUCUUGUUCAGCGUGUUGGAUCGGAUUCUCACGACAAAAUUUUUAUGUGUUUUUGCUUACGACGGCUCGGCGGCUACAACUAUUUGCAGUGCGUUUUGAAUGGCAACACUAGGGUUUUGGAAGUGGGUCGGGUCACCUAGCUAUUAGGCUUAUGUUUUAGUUUAAUUUGUAAUAGAGAUAAUACUCUAUGUUACUAUACCUUUGUUAGGUGUAGUGGGUUUACUUUUCUCUUUGUUUCCUUAUAUUGUUUGGGUUUAUUUUUGGGCUCAUGUUUGAGUUUAUGCCUCAAUGAAUUUAUUUCAUUUCCAAAAAGAAAAAAAAAUAUAUAUAUAUAUAUAUAUAUAUAUAUAUAUAUAUAUAUAUAUAUGAACUGGUCUAGGGUCCUUCAGGUAAUGGAAAAUUUUCUAAUUAAAUCAACUUUCUCUCUAAAUGCUCAAAAUGUUGCCUCUCAUUCUAGUUAAUGCAAAUGUGGAAACCAAAUUAAUUACCUCUUAAAGUAAAGGUUUUUGCUUGGCAACCAUUUCGACAAAGGUUAGAGCCAUCAUGGUUCUCAUCUAGAAAAGACCCGUCAAUGUUCAUUUUAAACCACAUAUCUGGAGGACGCACCGAGAAAACAUGAGUAAAAGCACGGGCUCUAAUUGAUAGAGGGGAAACCCCAAGCACCUUGAAAAUUGGAAGAGUGAAGGGAGAAGUAAUACUAGGCUUAAAGCAUAACAAUACUGAAUCCUUUAGAGCCAUAAUAUAUUUCUGAUGUAAUCAAGUGAUACUAAAACUCCCACCAUCAAAUAUCAAGCUAUUUCUUUCCAAGCAAAAGCACCGAAGCAUAUUACAAAGACCAACCUCCAAAGCAAUUUGCAUGAGCUAUUAAGAGCAUCACUAAAAGCUGUGCUAAUUAAUCUGUGAAGGCACAUUUGAGCGGGAAGUUGAAGCCUAAAAAGACCCAGGCUCCAUAUUCACAAAUGUGAAGCAACUCGUGUCUGUCUUUGGUCAUUAACUAAGACACGACCAUGUAGAACUUCCAUGCUAAAAUACUUAUCCUUCGUUGCAAUGCAUGGUCCCAAAUCUGCUUACCCCAUCUAGAAGGAGGUUGAUGAAGUCGAAGUGUCUCAUAAGCUUCUGCUGCCGAUAACCUACCAGAUUUUUGUUGUAGACAAAACUAACUGGUCUUCCAAGGAUUCAAAUGGGAGCACAAUGUCUCUUUCCCAUUGAAGAUCGGCAAAAUUCCUAACAGUGUGUUUGGAUACGGGUGACUUCCCGGGAAUUUAAUCAAAGAUAAGGAAUUCUCAAUUUCUUAGGACUCUUUCCACCAUUUGGAUUCUUAUCUCGUGAAAUUUGCAAUUUCCUCGGGAAAAUAAUCGUGACUUGAAUUCCUCACAAAACAUGCGUUAUUUGUCAAUUUCAUCAACUGAGGUUAGUUUAAAUACUAAUUCUUGUGAUUUUAAAACUCUAGAUCAUAAAAUCCAAACAAUGCUCAAUUAAUAAAAUUUAAAUUCAUAGAAUUAUGUAAUUUCCAUGAUUUCGAAAUUUCUGUGGAAAUUGAAAUUGCUUUUUCUAAACACAAUGUAAUUGUCUAUUACAACUGCAGAUUUUGUGGAUAUGCAAAGUAUGUGCUCAACUUAUGAAGUGGAGUAAAUGUUCAUACACUACCAGAAGAAAGGCUUUAGCCGAUGAAAAUAAAAAAACCAGGCCGACGAAUUAUUUUUUCGUCGGCUAAAGUCCACGUUAGCCGACGAAAUUUUCCUCAUCGGCUAAUUUAAAUUUUCAUCGACUAUGGUCAACUUUAGCCAACGAAAUUAAAAUUUCGUCGGCUAAAGAAUUUUUUUCAUCGGCUAUAGUCUGUGAACUUUAGCCGACGUCUUUAUAAAAGUUUAGCCGACGAAAUUAAAAUUUCGUCGGCUAAAGUGCCUUAUAUUUGCAAAUCUGGAUAGCAACUCAUCUGGAAAAAAAAAACGGGAGAAAAAGUUUGGGUGUUGUCGAAAUCUGUCCAUAAUUAGUUUGUGGAGCUAUAUAUAGGUAUGUAUAUGUGUAUAUAUGUUGAUUUUGAGUUUUAUUUGAGUUGAUCGAUUUUGAGUGUGAUUGAGUUGAUCGAUUUUGAGUACGUUGGAUGUAUAUAUAUAUAUAUAUAUAUGUUGAUCGAUUUGGUUGAUAAUUUGAUAAUAUAUAUGAAGUUUUUGUUAAUAGUUAGUAGAUAUAUAUAUAUAUUAAUUAAUUUAUAAUAUUGUGUUGAUGGUAUGAAGUUGUUGAUGAUAUGAGUUGAUGAUGAUUUUGUGAUGAUGUUGAUAUAUAAAAUUGUUAUGUAAUUAUUAAGUAUAUAUAUAUAUAUAUGUGUGUUAAUUAAUUUGUUAUUAAUUAGUUGUAGUACGUAGAAUACUAAAUGAAUUGAGAUUUUAUAUAUGGAAUUUAAUUAAUUAGAAUUAUACAUAUAUAUUUUGUUAUAUUUUCAGGAUAUGGAUAAGAGUUGGAUUUCGUUUCCAAAAUGGGACAAAAGAUAUGGUAAUGGAGUUAUGAGUUUUCUAGAAUAUGUGUUGGCUAAUGCUAACGGAAAUACAAUUUUCUAUUUCCCGUGCAUGAAAUGUCAGUGUCGCAGCGAUAUGCAUCGAUUUGCGAUUGACAAAGUAUGGCAGCACCUGAAGAGUAACGGGUUUUGGGAGAAGUACACAUGUUGGUUAUAUCACGGUGAAACAUCAUCCGGGGGUCCGCAUGAUCAUCGAUAAUUUUCUGAGACGGGCAAUACAUCCAACGAUCCAACAACAGCCUUCAUCAACGACAUGUUUCCUUAUAAGAGCGGUAUAUGCGCUCAAAGACAGUAUAUGCCUGAGCCGGUGCAGCCCUUCCCUAGAGUUGUCAACACUGCUGGUAUUGACAAGUACAACAAACUGUUUGCUUUCCAACAGACCCUUGUGUACCCCGGUUGUCAGAAGACCGUUUUUGAAAGUGUGAUGGACGUAAUGAAGAUUAAAGUUGAGACAAAAUCGGCCGUGAAGGCUGUUGAUGAUUAUCUAUAAUACACUGUUUCGAUGCUGCCCCACGGUCAUCGUCUUCCUACCACUCAUCAUAAGGUCUGAUGUAUCCUGAAAGAUCUUGGGCUUUCCUACAUUAAGAUCCAUGCAUGCAGAUAUGACUGCGUUCUCUUCUGGGGUAAAGAUCCAGAAGGGAAUGACCUUGGUGGCCUUGACGCAUUUCCGAUAUGUCACACUGAGAAGUAUAAGCUGACUCCUGCAAGCAAUAGGAAACCUGUAAAGGUACUUCGGUAUUUCCCGUUGAGGGAUAGGCUGGAGCGGUUGUACAUGUCUUCACACACGGCCAAAACUAUGAGAUGGUACGCUGAUAGGGAAUUACAUGACGAAGAUACCCUUAUACACCCUGCUGACGGGGAGGCUUGGAAGCAUAUAGACAGGGAGUUUCCUCAUUUUGCGUCAGAGGUCCGAAAUGUGAGGCUCGGGCUCUCAUCCGACCGGUUCAACCUUUUUGGCAACAUGAGUCUUCAAUACAGUAUGACCGGUGAUUUUGGUACCGUACAACCUUCCUCCAUGGAUGUGCAUGAAGAAGGAAUACAAUAUGUUGAGUUUGUUGAUUCCGGGGCCCGGUUAUUCAGGGAAGUGUCUCAAUGUGUAUUUGAGACCUUUGAUUGAAGAGCUUAAGUUUUUUUGGGACGUUGGUCAUCCCACUUAUGACAAGUACAUGCACGAGAUGUUCCAGAUGCAUGUCAUGGUUGUUGGUACCAUCAGUGAUUUUCCUGCCCGUGGGAUGUUGUCGGGCAAUGUUGGUAGGGGAUACAAGGCUUGUCCAGAGUGCCUUAGCGAUGAGGGGAGCAGCAGUCAUUGCAACAAAAUAUGCAAAUUGGGUCACCGUACUCUCCUUCCAUAUAAUCAUAAAUGACGGUUUGAUGACAAGGCAUUUGAUGAGACCGUAGAAAAUGGUGUGCCUCCCAGAAGAUGGACGAGGAAGAAAUUUUAGUAGUGCUUAAUGAGUACGAUUUUGGGCAGCUCAGCAUUCAUCCCAAUAUUAUGGCGGCAAUACCUGAAAGACCCGACAGGUACAAAUUCUGGACACAUAAGAACAUAUUCUGGGAACUCCCAUACUGGAGUAAAUUGUUGAUCAGACACUACCUAGAUGUGAUGCACAUAGAAAAGAAUGUUUGCGACAGUGUGGUGGGCACAGUGCUGAACUUGGAGGGGAAGAUGAAAGACGGUCCUAAGGCACACAUUGAUCUAAAAAAAAUGCUUAUAAGAAGACAUUUGUGGUUGAAAGAAGGGAAGAAAAAAAUACCUCAAGCUCCUUACACCGUGAGGCCUAACCAGAAGAACGUAAUUUUCAAGUGGAUGAGUUGUGUGAAGUAUCCUUCAGGCUAUGCAAGAAAUAUAGUCCGGUGUGUGAACUUCCGGGACAAUAAGAUGUACGGGUUGAAGAGUCAUGACUGUCAUAUCCUGCUACAACGUCUCUUCCCUGUUUUUAUUCGACCGUUCCUUUCCCGUCAAGUGGUGGAGCCGUUAGUAGCGUUGGCAAGAUUCUUCCAGAAGUUAUGCACAUGGGAAGUGAAAAAAUCUAACCUCCGGGAAAUGCAAGAGGAUAUUAUUUAUAUCAUGUGUAAAUUUGAGAGGAUAUUUCCUCCAAAUUUUUUUGACGUCAUGCCUCACCUGAUGAUCCAUCUUCCCGAGCAAUUGUUGUUUACCAGUCCAGUACACUACACUUGGAUGUAUCCCAUGGAAAUGUACGUUUUUUAUACCUGAAUUCCUCAAUAUACAUGUUCAAUAAUCAUAACAUUUUGCAACUUGAUUUAUAGGCAAUUUAGAGACUACAAAGAUUAUGUGGAUAAUAAAUCCGCGCCUGAAAGCUGAAGCAUAUAUUGCGCACGUGUCACAUCCCGACCCUUAUAUUUUUACCUUAUUUACUAGCGUGAUUAUAAUAAGAAUUUUACCGUCUCCGUCUUUGAGUUAAUAGUUUAAUUGGUCCCUAGAAGGGUUUUGGGGACAAUUAUGUGCGGAGGAUUGUUCAUAGGAGAAAAUUUCGACGACGGUAAAAAUAGUAAAUUUUAGCUAGUAAAAGGUAAUUUUUUAUUCGGGUAUUAUUUUUUCGGGGUGUUUUAUUUUUUUGAAAUUGGGUUGUUUAAAGGGUGGACCGGUUUGGGGUGUGACGCCCAAACCCAUAUUUUCUUUUUCUUCCUCUUUUCUUCCCGGUUUCCUCCCGAGCCUCUCCCCCGCCGGAAACUUCUCGCCGUCCGUACGCCGCCGCUCCGGUCCCGUUUGGUUGCCCUCCGACCCAGCUAUCUUCCAGGACCGGUGACAGCCCCCCUAGCGCCGCCGUGAAAGAGCGGUGCCGCCCGAAAGGACAGACUGCCCAAAACUUUCGGUCGUCGGAACUCCCUCCUCCGGUCACCAAAACCGGCGAUCCUUGGCUCGUUUUGUAGCCCUCCUCUCGUGCAGCAACCCCUCCAAUCAGCUCACUCCUUCUUGAGCUAGGUAAGGAGAAAUGUGGAGUUGAAUUUUCUAGGGCUUUUAGGAUGUUUUUGUUCAAUUAGCCUAGUUAGGCUUGGAAUUGGGUGAUGUGCUGGUUAAGAAAGUUGUAGAGCUUGAUGAGGAGAUUAUUCUGUCAAAAUUUCAUAGGUUUUGGAGGUCGCCGGAAUUGGCCUCCGGCCGCCGCUGCCGGCGGUUAAGAGAUUUUUAGGGUUUUAAGUGUGGAAUAUUAAGAGGAGUAUAUUGAUGUGAAUUAUGGAAUUUUUGGAUGAGAUUUGGAUAGGUUUGUGAAUUUUCGAAGUUUGGUAUUUUUAGCGGUUAAUUAAUGUAGAAUCCGGCCGUAGGAUUUAAGUCGUAUUUUUGGGAGGUUGUAUUUACGACUGUAGAGGAUGAUAUUUAAGUUCGGAUCCUUCCGAUUUAAGAAUAUCGAAGUUAGGCAAUGAUGAGCGUAUUUAUGGCUCUCGGGUAAUUUUGCCUAUUUUGACUAAAUAUUGGAUUAUUGGUUGGGAAAUUAAUAUUAUAUUUGGAACAGGACGUGAGGAGGCUCGAGCAGACGAGGCCCCAGAUCGACAUCAGGCUUAGGCCUAAUUUGUGAGUGGACGUUUAUUUUAAAUAAAUGCAUGCUAUAGUUCAUGGUUGAACAAUUAAUGUUGCUGAAUAUUUUAACGUCAUUUUAAUUUGACGAUUUUUUAUUUCUCUUGGAGAGUUACCGAAAAUGGGAUUUUCGGUGGAUAUAAAUAUGUAUUUAUGAGAGAGUAUGUAUAUAAAUGCUAGCUAGCCAUAUGUGUCUGUCCACCUUAAUGGCGUAGCAUAUAGCCGCAUUAUGGUGUGACGUGNNNNNNNNNNNNNNNNNNNNNNNNNNNNNNNNNNNNNNNNNNNNNNNNNNNNNNNNNNNNNNNNNNNNNNNNNNNNNNNNNNNNNNNNNNNNNNNNNNNNNNNNNNNNNNNNNNNNNNNNNNNNNNNNNNNNNNNNNNNNNNNNNNNNNNNNNNNNNNNNNNNNNNNNNNNNNNNNNNNNNNNNNNNNNNNNNNNNNNNNNNNNNNNNNNNNNNNNNNNNNNNNNNNNNNNNNNNNNNNNNNNNNNNNNNNNNNNNNNNNNNNNNNNNNNNNNNNNNNNNNNNNNNNNNNNNAAGUUAGGGUUGUCCAUCUGCAAGGGAGAUUUUCUCAAUCUUUUCAGUAAAUUUUCCUUGGAGGUGGUCCCCGCACGACUUACUCCGGGUUUCAGGGUGAAAUUCGGGGUGGUUCGUGUCAGUUGGUAUCAGAGCUAUAGGUUUCCUUUUCCUGCUUCCUUGUCACUAUCAUAUUUGCCUAAGUAGCACGUAGUGUCUAUAGAGUGAUGAUCCGACCGCGGCGGAUUCAUUGGCAUUUUAUGCUUUUGAUGCUAUGUGUUAUUGGGUAUAUGUGAUUAUUGUGUUAGUCUUGUUUAUGGACUACUAAAUUUCUUCUUCCUCAGGUACUAUGCCUCCUAGGCGCCCACAACAACCCCGUGUGGCUACUUCGACCGAUGCCGAUGAGGGCAAUGAGGUCAGGGGACUGGUUGAUGAUAUUGGAAAUAUGCUGAGGGAUGUUAUAGAUCGAGCUCCACACCCUCAUGCAGUGAAGAUGAGAGAAGUUUAUGAGGUUGGAGCAAGAGAGUUCAAGGGUGCCAAGGGACCCCUUGAUGCUUAUACUUGGGUGGACAAAAUGGAAAAGGCUUUUGCGAGCACAUAAUUGUAUUUUUUAUACUUUAGCUGACGAAAUAUUACAUAAUUCGUCGACUUAAACCAUCUUAGCCGACAAAUUAUAGUAUAUUUCAUCGGCUAAACCAUCUUAUUNNNNNNNNNNNNNNNNNNNNCCAUUCUUUCUCCCUAUGGGUAGCCCUAUCUUCGGUGGUUAUUUUCCGUAAAAUUUUUAUACGACUUGUUGCGUCUCAUCAAUUUGAAACUAUUUUCAGUUGAAGGUCCGGCCAAAAUACGUAAUUUAUACGGUCCAAUGACAUUUUCCGUGCGUUUAGGGGUUUGACUUACGGGAUUGACCGUCCGGAUCAAGCCCUUAACCUUGUCGGAUCAAGUUGAAUUUUUUCCCAUACAUGUAUUUUAUCAUGAUGGUCAGAUCUGAUGAUCGGAUUUUCGUUUCUCAAGUUUGAUCAUCACAAUCACAAUGUGCCGAAUGUAUAAAAAGUACUAUAGCCGACGACAUUAUUGAAAAUUCGUCGGCUAUAGUUAAUAAAAUAAAAUAAAACAAAUAAAUUGAAAAUAUUAAAUAAAAAGUACUAUAGCCGACGAAUUUCAUUACUUUAGCCGACGAGAUUCACAGGUUUAACCGACGAAUUUCAAAGAUUUAACCAACGAAUUUCAAAGGUUUAGCCGACAAAAUAAAAUUUUCGUUGGCUAAAGGUAUAGGGUAUAUAAUUAAACCCAGCGAAUUCACAGGUUUAGCCGACGAGAUUCACAGGUUUAGCCGACGAAUUUCAAAGGUUUAGCCGACGAAAUUUUUAUUUCGUCGGCUAAAGGUAUAGGGUAUAUAAUUAAACCCAGCGCUCCAUAAAACCCUAAAAAACCCACCACUGCCUCCUCCGCCUCCUCGAGCCCACCACUGCCUCCUCGAGCCCUCACCACGCUCCACAGCCUCCACUGCUUCCUAGGUUUGGCCCAAUUUGCCUCCUUCCGCCCUCUCCCUCUCCCUCUUCCACAAUACGAACACAGUACACCAGUUGACCACCACCUCAUUAAACCGGAUUCCGCCUCGUCUCUGUCGACUUCUGCAACUCCAACGUCCAAGCAUCCAAGUCGCAUCGUCCAAGUCGCACCGUCCAAGCCGCCGAUCGCCGUUGAUUUGAGGUACGCACAUCAAUUCUUGAAUUUUGUGAAUUUUAUGAAUAUUGAUUCAUUCCGACUCAACUAGAACCUUCUUGACUAUUCAAGUAUGAAUUGUAAGAAGUGUGGUUUCUUAAUUGUACUAGAGUACAUAACUACAUAUGAUGUUUUUCAAUAUAUGGAUUUGAUAUUGCAUCAGGCAUUAGUUCUAGAUUGGAGUUGGUUUACUGAAUAAACGAAAAGUUGGUUACUGAAUAGAUUGGCAUUAGCAUUUAGCAAUGGUGUGUUGCAGGCAGCCAACCACAAUUGUUGAUCAACAAGAUAUGAUUUUGAAGCAUGAAGUUUAUUUCAAUGUUAUUAUCUUUUGAUCUUCCAAGACUAGCUAGUGUACUUUGAUCUUUCAACUUGAGUCUUUAGAUAUAUUUUAUGUAUGGUGAUUUGUUUGAAUUGCAUUGUUUGAGUAUUUACUAGGAAUGGAUGACAAUAUAUAAUGUUAUGUUGAAUGCAAUAUAUGUUCUAUAUACAGGAUGAAUAAUGACAUGAAUACAAGUUUUUUUUCAAAAGGCUUACGCCUUACGCCUCAAGGCAAGCGCCUUGGUGAGGCUCUCGCGUCAUUGCCUCGGCUACCCCUUAGCCUUUUAAAACAUUGAUUCAAAUUAAUAUUUUAAACAAGAUGAGCGGUAAUUUUAGAUCGACGAAGGGUUCGAAGGGCCAAAAGUCCGAAUUGUCUGAGGGAACCUCUAGAAACCCUCAAACGUAGUUUCGGGACCCCAUGACAGCAGCCGAGCGUUUCCUAUUCCUCGAGGCAGCCGAAGGUGCCCCCUUCAUCGAGGUAGUCAGGCGUCCCUCAUUCCUCGAGGCAGCUGUGGCCUCAGACCUAGACGGAGGUGUCUGCACCCCGUAUGUCUGAGAUACACCGGGCGCCCACUCCGGGUCUUACUGCUUCGGAUGGUGGGUCAUUUGGGGUACAGAUGUUGUCACCUCAUCUGUUCAUUCCGCGGAUGAUAUCGGCCUUACCUGCAGUUGAUGGCUCAGGGACGCCGAUUUAUCCACUGCCCCCGCCAGUGGCUCCAUCAGCGGCGUACCGGUUCAUGCCUUUUGAUACGCCUCUUAUUUCCGCGAGGGUAUCAUCAUCGGCGACAGAGAUGGAAUCCGUCGCAUCCGUCGCAUCGCCCUCAGGUAAUGAAAGAUGAAUGAUUUGUUUUCUUAUAAUUAAUAAUAAAGGGUCUCCGAAUUUAAUAAUCAAUUUGAUUUUUCAUGUGAUAGGCACCGUCGGAGCGAAGCCGACAAAGAAGAAGAGAGGCCCCGUCACAAGGAAGGCUCUCGAGAAGACCGUCAAUACCUUAGGGAGGAUCGUCAUCGAUACUGACGGGGAUGGCCACAUAGUAUCGGGCGGGAAGUCUAGGACAUACUCCGGCUGCGUGGUAGCGCUCAUCAAAGAUAGAGUCCGUAUGUUGUGGUCAGACUGGGGCAAGGUCCCGCAGGAGGUUAAGGACAUGGUCCACAACGCGAUGUCGGUGAGUUUACAAAAUGCCUCAAUAAUAUUAUGUAUUACAUUGUUGAUUUCUCGAAAAACUAAACUAAUAAACGGUUAAAUGCAGGUGUAGUUUGAUGUUCCCGAGCACUUGAAGAACAGCUGGGCAGACGUUGUGCAUGGGGGAAGGUAUGUUGGGAAGUUAAUGAAAAAACAAAAUUGUAUGUCAUAUUAAUAAUAUUUCUAAUAUUUUUGUUGUAUCUGUAGGUACAAGGAGUGGAAGAACGAGUUGCGGACCCACUGGACUACGCACUGGAACGCAUGUUCUGGUACCCCUGCUGAGUUCCAGUACAGGGAGUACGAGUGGCGUUGGCUUUUGACAUCAGAAUUCAACAACCCUCAUAAACAGAUAUUUAAAAAAAUUAAUUAGUUAAUUUGUCAUUAAGUACGUCCGUUUUUAAAUAUUUUACUAAUAGUUUAUUUUUUCUUUGAAGGCCGUUUCCCGGACGAACGCUCAGAACCGGCAAUGCAACACAAGGAACCAUCGUGUCGGUUCUAGACCGUUCGCAGUCUUCAUGGAUGAGGAGGCCAGGGGAACAUCCAGAAGUCAACCGGUACGUCUAUACGUACGAGAAGACAUAUCCUGACGCCCAGGAGGAUAUUGUAAGUCAUCUUACGUUUUUAAAAUUUUAAUUUUACUUAUAUAUAUGUCAAAAUAUUAAGUAAUCAUUUUUUUCCUAUCCAAUUAGGCGAAGGUGAGGGAGGCUAGUGACGAGGUGAUGAGUGCUAUAGUGAGGGAGGCAUAGCCGGACACGCAGGAGGAAGAGAUGUCCGAAGCCAUGUCCUGGAUCGACACUUCGGAUCCGAGGGUUGGGGCGAGGAUCAUGGGCACAGUCUUCCCACCGCGAGGAAACAACUUCUACUACCGGGGUCUAGGAAAGAAGGGCAAGGGGAAUGUUGAUUAGGGUGUUUCUAAUCUCUGGAAACAACUUCAAUUUUGUGUAGUUGAUCAAUUAUAUAGUUUUAUGUGCUUGUUGUUGGUUAUAUGGAAUUGUUUUGGUGUAUUUUGCAGGUUGCUUGGAAUGGUAAUUUAGAAAUUUCGGGUUUUUUUUUUACUGGAAUGGACUUAUAGCCGACGAAACAUGUAAGAUAUUCGUCGGCUUUAGUAUUUUUUUUUUAUAAGGUUUAGCCGACGAAUUAUGGCAUAUUUCGUCAGCUAAACCCUUCUAAAACCGACGAAACAGACUAUAUUUCGUCGGCUAUAGUUAUUUUUUUAAAUUUUUUAUUACAUACUUUAGCCGACGAAUAUCUUCAAUGUUUCGUCUGCUAAAGUCUCAGACUAUGGUCGACGAAAUAUUUAAGAUAUUCGUCAACUAAAUUCUGGGACAAUAGCCGACGACGUCAUUUAGUGUCAACAGCUAAAGUCAUCACCGACGACUCUUUCCCGAUGAAACCAUAGCCGAUGAAAGCUAGUCGGCUAAGAUCUUAGCCGACGAAUUAAGCUAACAGGCCGACGAAACUUUUUCGUCGGCUAAAGUGCUUGUCCUGGUAGUGUGCGAAUUGUUCUUGAUUACUCACUCUAGUAAAUUGGAUGAGGUGAAGAUAAGUGUACGUACUCUUUGUCUAAAGCAUCAUCUUUAAUGUUUAAUUUUUUUUUUUUCAAACAUUCAAAUUUUAAAUAGUUUAUUUUCCUCUCAUUUUGAAGAGGUGGUUAGGUCAUAUUUGCUUAGCCCUGGAUUAUUAUAACAUCAAUGACGUCUUACAUAGAGAUAUCAAGCCACAUAACUUAUUGAUACUUGAUGAUAUACUCAAACUUGGGGACUUCAGAUGUUCAUGAGCUCACUUCAACAAAAAUACCAAGCACUCUGUUUUUAGCAAGUCUAUUGAUGUGUUUUAAAAUAAAAUAGAUAAAGAUUACCUUGAUGACGAAGUAACUAAAGUAUCAGAUUCUACCACAUUACUCGGUAAGGCCAAUUCCCAAAUUAGGAGUAGCAAUCUAGAAAUCAAUUUAUUGUUUUCUCAAGAUUUAACAAUGAAACACACAUGAAAUAUAUCUAAAGUAGACUCUUCUUCGCUUCUUAAGUAUGAACACUAAAGCAUCACAUGUACACAAACUUAUUGAAACUACAAAAGAUCAAAGUGUUUACAAAACUUCAAAUGUGAAACAAGCUCAUUUGAAUAACAAGAGAUCAAAGGAGUUCAUAUUAAAUACAAAGCCAAGCAUGUAUUAAUAAAAGUGAUUCCAAACUACCAAAAAUGCAUGACAUUAAAGGUAAAAAGAACAAAGAUUUUAUUAAUGCAUUUUGAAGCAACAACCAUAAACAUAGAUAACAUAACUAUAUGAAUUGAUAGAUAAUUAAAAGAAACUUAUUUCAUAAUGUGGUUUCCUCUUUAACCUUAAUUAAGGAAAUUAGUAAGACAUAGUACAAAUUGAAAACACUUAAACAUAUACAAAACAUCAUAGGAAAAAUAGUUAAAGAAAGAGAAGAACAAGAGCAACAAUAUGUCUCUCAAUCUCCACUCUCUCUCCCCCCUCUCCUUAUUCUCUUAAAGCAAGCAUUAUUUAUAGAGCAACAUUGAGCUUUAUUGCAACUUCAUCUCCAUGUGAAAAUGAUUUUCCUUCUUCAAACUUCUCAUGCUUGAUGGCAACAUAUUUCUUCACCCAUAAAUGCUUUCAUACAUCACUUUCUCUUUAUCUACAACAUCAUUUGUUUCUCUCAUUUUUCAUGCACAAGAGUACGUACACAAACUUUGAAGAAUUGGAAGUGAGCUCCUAGAUUCAUGCAAGCUUGUUCCAUGCACUCUUGUCUUUGGAAAUUCUUUAUGCUUUUUUUCAUUUGUAUCAAUGCAUAUCUACAUACCUAUGAAUCAAAUGAGUAAAGUGAAUUCAACAAUUGAUGGCUAAGGUAAAUAAUUUUAAUACAACACACUUAAUGCAAUGGGAAAACAUUCCACCAAUUGUAGACACAUGCUAUUAGAACAAUGAGAACAUAUGUUGCACUUAUUUAAUUAAAGGGAAAAUGACUCAUGUUAAAAACAAGGACUCAAUUUACAAUAAAAAUAGAUAAAUUGCUUCCAUAACUUUAACAUUUUAUUUAUUUAGACAUAACAUCUAUAAGAACACAAAAACAAACUAAAUAACUCAAACUAAUUAAAACAAGUAACUAACACAUAAAUCGGGGAUAAUAAUAUGAUAUAAAAUGUGUUCAUCAUAUAUGUUCUCUCCAUUUUUCUGUAGUUGUGAUAAUUAGACAUAGAACUACUUUAACAUGGUUUUGAAACGACCAUAUUUUUAUGGCUUCUUUACUCCUCCUAAUCUCCACUCAUAUAGUCAUAUGAUCUUUUGUGAACUAACCAAUACAUGACUAGUAUUUGUAUUUUUUGUUUUAUUUAUUAAAUGAAAAAUAUUUGAUGCGCAUACUAACAUACAUAUUGGUUAUGAGCCCUACUCAGACAAAACACACAUAAUUCUUAAUAAAUAAAUCUUUAAUGAGCUGUACUGAUUAGUACCAAGAGAAUCGUUGGUUAACAGAUGGAAAUUGAAUUUUAAGUGAGUUGAAGUGGGCCCAGUUUUAUGGUCGAAAUGAUUGUUCAAAUUUGGCCUCAAUCAAACAUUUUUGUAAAACUUUAGCCCUCUAUAAAACUUUUUUGUAACAAACCAUUGCCAUGAUUGGAGAUGAGUUUUGUGCAAUUAUGAACUUUGGAUCUUCUAUUGGAGAAUGCUUAGCAAGCUAAUAUUAAACUCUACAACAUCUAAGACAUUUUUUUAAAAACUAAUGGCUCCGGUUCAAUAGACGCUUUAUUUUAUACAAAUUUUUACACUAUCUUUCAGCUAUUAGAUUUAAGUCCUUUAAAAAGUCUACAUUGGUUUUAUGUAUGACAUGUCAAAUGACAUGAAAUCAAUAUAUAUAUAUACAUAUAUAUUUUGUUCCACCCAAAAAUAAAGAAAAUAAGAUCUAAUAAAUUGAUUUUAUGAAUAAAAAAUUUAAAAAGAAGAUGAACGUUCAUCUUUGAUCAAUAAACGUUUUCUUCUUAAAUAUGUGAGGCAUUGCAGGCCAUUGAUCUUGCAUGCCAUAUUCUUCUAUUCUUUCUUGAGUGAUUAAAAAUCAAUUAUCCUCACUUGUCCCUUUCUUUUGUUCCAUCAAAUACUCUAAUAGUAAUUGUACAAGCUUUCAUAUCUAUCUCUCUUCCUCUUAGGUCUUUAUUGGUUUUCAUAUACCUCUCUUAUUUCUUUUAGGGCAAAAUCACAGCAUAUCAUUCAUUCUAUAUGAAAACAAUUCGGUGGCUUUUCUUUUUCUCUCUCAAUCUCAAUAAUUUUUAUUGAAUAUCUCUAGAAUAUGUUUUCAAUUUCAAUAAUUAUCGUUAAAUCAUUGACGCAAUCUACUUGAAUAAUAUUGUAUAAACUUGGAGCGAGAGAGAGAAAGAAACAGAGAGAGAUAUUUCGUCUUUUCUUAGUAGAAGAAGAAGAAAACAUCAUUCAUGCAUCUUCUAAUUUUUAUUUGUCUACAUAAAAUCAUUAUCAUUUAUGUAUUAGCUUCAAUUUUUUUUAUUAGUUAAACAACUCAAAUGUAACAACGAGUAUUUGGUGAGUCGAACUUACAACCUCCCACUUAUAAAUGAGAGACUAUGCCGUUAGACUAAAUGGUACUUGACAUCUUCAAUUUUUUUUUUUUUUUUUUUGUCAAAUAAAAUUGAUUUCAUGUUGUUUGCCACAUCAUACAUGUAAUCAAUCUAGACCAUUCAAAAUACUUUAAUCCAAUGACUGAAAAAUAGUGUAAAGUUUGUGUAAAAUAAAGUGUCCUUUAAACUGGACACAAAAUUAAUAUUGCAAGAGUGUAAUAAUUGCAAUUUCUAGCACAACUAUAUCAACCACCAAGAAUCAAGAUCCAAGCCAAAUGAUUCAUUGUUAAUUUUUCUCAACCUAAGCCAAGGUGUCAACAAUCGACACUGGAUCUACAUCCACAUGGGAUUCCAAGGGUGGGAGUAGCCCUCAAUCUGGCCGAGAACUCCCCGAGGAGCUUCUGCUAGCCACAGUUUCUCAGUGGUGGCUAUUGGAGCACCCAUGGCUCUUCUGGAUGUUGACUGCAGUCGCCGUUAUCGCCAUCAUAGCCGGUGUUUACAGAUACUUCAGUAACAUAAUCAAUAGGCUUAAGAUUUGUUUGAAUUGUUUGUGGGGUGACGAGGACGAUGACGAGGAGGCAAGACCACCCACUAUGCCAUUUCUUGCAUCAGGCGACACAAAUGUUAUGUCGCCUGAUAAAAAUCGUAAGUGUCGCCUUUUAGCAUGUCGUUGAUGAGGCUCUCCGACGACACAAAUGUUGUGUCUCCUAUAAGAACCUCAGGCAACAGAAGACUUUUUUCAUUUUGUGUCACCUGAAUUGAGAUAAGACGACACGGUAUAUAUGUCGCCUGAUAGUUUAAACAACGACAUGCUAGAAGGCGACGUAUCUUUUUUUUCCAUGAGGUGACACAGCUCUUUGUGUCGCCUUAUAACUGCGAGAGAGAGAAAUACGCCUUACAAUAACAACAUAUAGGUGUAGGUUAAUUUGUUUAAAGACGACAUUUAAACAUCGUCUGAAAAUGCUACAAGUGACAUAUACUUGAUGAAUUAGAAUUUAAAAUUUCCAUGCUACAUUUAUGUGUCGCUGGAUGAACCCACACGACACACUAUUGAUGUUUCUGGUCUAGACGUAGUACGACGACACAUAUGCAUUGGUGAAUGAUCUUCAGGCAACGUAUAUUUUUUCUUUUUCCAUUUGGUCUCUUUAAGACAAUAUGUAUCUGUCGUCUGAUAUGCUUUAAGCUUUCACUAUGUGAUAUCUUUUAGGCUUUCAACAUUUUUAGGCGACAUUUGUCUAUGAGCUUGACCUACAUAUAAGUGAUGCAUUCUUUUGAUUUAAACUCUCCAUUUGAUUAAAUUCAGAAAUCAAAUCUCUUUUUUUUUUUCACAACACAUUGGAGACAAUAUACUACUGGUUUCAUUAAGAUAUCUACCCUUAGUUCUACUCAUCAAAGUGAGUAUCCAAGUUACAAUACAAAACGAAAAUAACAAUGCAGCAAAAAUGUAAUAUGCACUUAACAUAAAACAAGUACAAAGAAUCCAAAAAAAACCAACUUAAACCAAUUUCAGGCACAUCAGCCACAUCUGUAAUGGGGAGUACUAAAACCCUUUCAAUUGUUUGGCAUGCCCGAUUCAGCAUCAUUUCCUUUCCCAAGUGAAAGCAAUAGCUCUCAAAGACUCUAGAGCUGACUGUGACUCCAAAAUCCAGCAGGAAAAGGAACUCCACUUCUAGUCUGUUCAAUUCGGCAUUGCUUACUCCCCCAACCUUGGCAUAAAAUGCAUUGUUGUAAUGCCUGCAUAUCCAUUUUUGUAACCAGAGAACAAACAUAAUCAAAAUUUGUAUCACUUUGGUUGGUAAAUCUAUGUAGUGUGGAGCAUAGUAAGAAUAUCAAUCAAUGUUCAUAUCCUUUCUUAGUUGUUAUUUCAAAUUCAAAGAUAUCUCAAAGGAAGAAGUUAAACUAGAAAAUCCCAAAAUAUAAUUGGUUCAAUCACAUGGAUGUAUACUCAUUACAAUGAAAUACAACCUGGGUUUAUUAACUUAUCAUUGAGCAAUAAACAUCAUCUAAUUAGAUCGAACCGAAACUCCAUUAUUUACUCUCUACACCAAGUGUAUAAUUGACAGCAAUGAGUCCUCCUAAAGUUUCUUCCUUCACAAAACAGUAACCAAACAACAACCAAGUUGUAACAAAAAAACUCAGAAACUAGCAACUAAGCAAAACACUAACUUUCAGAAAUCAAAGAUCAACUCACCUGUCAAUCAAAAGGGGUUUAGGACAGAAUUGAGGCUCAACUUAACUCCUUAAGCAAGUGCACCACAGCUGCUAGCCCUCUCCUUUUGACAGUAGCCAAAACAAGGGAAAUCCUUACCCUAGCCUUGUCAACCAACACAGAAGCUUCGCUUUGCUGUUUCAACUCCAAAUCUGACAUGGUGUUGAUUUGCAUCAGAAAAGAAUCGAUUAAUACCACCUACAACCAAGAACAACAACACAGCAAUAACACAGUUUCAUAGCACAUGAGCUUUACCUUCAAUAUGCUUGACCCAAAACACAGCAGCUUCUCCUAGCGAGAUUCCGAACCAUCAUGAAGAGAUUCGGCUAAAAUCAGAUUUGGGAAUUAGGGUAUCCUCCAACACAAUGACAGCAGCCUUUCUAACCUCCCUCUACGAUUUCUUUGGUCUCUAAGAGGAUGAGACGAUGCCGAAAAGGAGAAGAGAGCUGCUGUGAUGCCUCGCCAGAGACUCACCACGUAACCCAGAAAAAAUAGAGAAAGGGGGAUUUCGAAUUAGGGCACGAUUUGAACAAUUGAAAGCAUGAAAUGGGAGAAUAAGGAAGAAGAAGAAGACCCUUACCAGUCAGGCUCCCCGUCGUCACCGGAGCUCAUUGGAGUCCGAUGAACACCACCGUGUUCUUCAACUCCGAUCUCCUCGAUCCAUAGAUGAGAUGUGGGAUUUGAGGGUUGUGCUAGGUAGAAGAGAAUGAGAGAGUGUCUUGGAGGUAGCCAGGAAACCAGUGGCCGGACGGCGUCGCUCCGAUGCGGCAAGGAGAAGGGACGAGAGAGAGAGUCGGGGAGAGGAGAGAGAGAUGGUCAACAGACCCUUUCGGGCUUUUGACCGAAGUCCACCACACCCUCUCCAUUUAAACUUAAAUCAACAACCCAGAUUAAAAGUUAGAAACCCUGCUGAUCCCACAACCCGGAUUAAAAGUUAGAAAAAUCAAAUAUCGGGGGGAAACCAAACUCAAUUGUUAGGGGGAACCAAAAUCAAAUAUUGAGGGGAAACCAAACUCAAUCGUUUACCUCUAAAGUCAGAAAUUACACUAUUUUAGUAUCAGCCAACACAUAAAUGUUGUCUUAUUAACAAAAAAAUUUGUCUACAAAAUCAAAUGGUUUGGAGGGAAUCUACCUAAGUUAAAAAGCUAGGGUUUACCUCUAAAGUCAGAAAUUAUUAAAUUACAGUAUCAGCCAACACAUAAAUGUUGUCUUAUUAACAUAAUUAAGUACAAUUUUCACACAAGUUGUCAAUUCAUAAAAUUCAAUAUUAGCUAACACAUAAAUGUUGUCUUAUUAACAUAAUUAAGUACAAUUUUCACACAAGUUGUCAAUUCAAUAAAAUUCAAUAUCAGACAACACAUAAAUGUUGUCGGAUUAACAUAAUUAAGUAAAAUUUUCACACAAGUUAUCAAUUUAAUAAAAUUCAAUAUUAGCCAACACAUAAUUGUUGUCUUAUUAACAUAAUUAAGUACAAUUUUCACACAAGUUGUCAAUUCAAUAAAAUUCAAUAUCAGACAACACAUAAAUGUUGUCGGAUUAACAAGAGUAAAAUUUUCACACAAGUAUAUUGGUUAAUUUGGAAAUCCCUCCAAAAGUUGAGAAAAGAUAAUCCUCACAACUAGACGACCUAUAAGUGUUGUCUGAAUGUAAUUUACAUUUUGACAAUUGAGACUAAAACAGACCUCUUUCUUCACCAACCUAUAUGUGUUGUCCCAAAAACAUACCUUUUUUUCAAAGAAAAUUUGUAUUGUCUAAGUGCAUAUUCCACCAACACAGCAAAAAAAUGUGUCGCCCCGAAACCCUGAACCAUACUUAAUUUCAUUUGUAUCGCUCGAUGAGUGUUGCCUGAUGCAAGAAAUGACAUAGUGACUACAGCCGCAACUGCUGAUUAGUAUCAUCUAAAGCGUUAAAGUACGUAAAUUUCACAACAAACCUAAACUCAGCGGUGUAGCGAAUCAACUCCUACUGUAACUCUGUGAGGAGGGGUAUUGUCACUCCCGUGAGGCAGAGAGCCGGUUCUGUUAUGGAGAAAGCCGAGAACUCUGAAGGCCAGGUUGUAACCAGUAGAAGAUCGUUGAUCUUUUCGGGGAUUGAAGAAGCUGAGAGAGUGUCCCCGGAUAUUGCUCUUGCUAAAAUCUAUUGCGAACUCAAUCUGUGGUAAAAUAAUAACAUCAUCUGUGAUAUUAGCUCUUUUGAUAUUACUCUUUUGGUAACAUCAUAUGUGGAAGAAACUUAAUGAGGUGAGACUUGAGACUUUGAGAGUACCUCCAGAAAGAAACUCGGUAAUUACACAAGUAGAAUUACUACUUUAAAAAAACCCAAGGAUGUUUGAACUUCCUCUCUUGAUGAAGCAUUCUUUGGUUCCACCCGGUAACUGCAAUGAUCAAAGUGAAACUUUUAACUAAUGCUUUUUUGAGGUGAAACUUAUAUAUUAAAUAAGUAGUUGCCAUACAUAAUAUCUGAUGGAUGUCAUAUUUGCUUCUCAUGACAUAAUCUUAAGGAAAUCAAACAACAACACUCACUUGGAGUGCUAACUAAGAGUAUAUGCAAAGAAGUGCGCAAAUCAGAAAUCCGUUAAUCUUUCUCAGAUAUUGAUCAUAAUAACCACUCAUAUCUUGAAGGAACCUAAAUUAAUAAGUCUUACAUAAUCUGGGACACAUAAUAGAUCCUACAUUAGCCCUUAGCCUCACACAUCCUCACAUAGUUCCUAAUCAGCUACUGCACGACCGCGAUACGUAGCGGUUGUGAACAAUUUUAUGCGCCUUUACAUCUUUGAGAAAUGUUUCAUGAUUCACCUCUUUUCCCUCUUUCUUGGUUUUUUUUUCUUAUGUUUCUUCUUGGAGCUGAACAGUCUUGUCUUAUAGCAGUUGUAGUUUGCAAUAUUUUCAAGAAUAAUCAUAAGGCAAAUGUUUUUGUUUAAAAUUAGAGCCGUAUGUAGGAUGGUGAUGUCCUGAAGAUAUCUCGUUCAUCUUUUUCUAGUUGAACUAGAGAGAUUUGAACCUUGAAGAUAAAGAUUUGUGAAAACAUUCAUUCUUACAAAAUAACAUAUUAAAGACAACAAAAGUAUAAUUUGAACUCUUUCUCAUCGUCAAAAGCGGAGAUCAUGACAGAUAAUUAAGCCUUAGCUGCUGAUCUUUGAUCUAUGACUCUGAGAUCAAGUUCAAUUUUAUGGUGAAAUUGUGUAUGAUUAGGUCUGAUGAAGAUGACGAGGAGACUAUGAAUAUUGAGAAUCAUGGAUUUUAUGCUCCGGCUUUGCCUUUUAAUGUUCAAGUUGUAAACUAUUAUGGAGGUUUUGCAAUUGAUGCUGGCUAUGGGAUUGAUGAUGAUAUGCUGUUAAAUGGAGGUGUGGUUAACUUUUGGGAGCCUUAAAUGAUGACUAGCAGAGCUGUAAUUGUACAUGUUAUGAGUUCAAACUCCUCAGACAUCUUGACUAUUAUCGAUCUCGAACUGACGGAUAUGGUGUUGUACUUGCAACGAGAGGUCUUCGGUCUCCUCGACCAUGACAUAGAAAGCCAAUUGUUUCAUGUCGGUGACCUCCUCCGUUUGUAGGACCGGUUGCAUAUUCAAGAGGUUGCUGAGAUCAUCAAUCACGAUCGAGAUUGUUUAUCUCACAGUGUUAUCGGGGUACUAGUUUAACACGUACUGAUCAGUUGGUAGAGCUACUUCAAACAAUUCGAUCAUUUCAUUUUCUUUAGCUAUAUCAUGACAUGUCUUUUCAUUUUUCUGAAAGUACAAAAGUCAUUUGUACUCUAUGAACUUUCAACAUGUCUGAUGCGUUAAUGGAUUAUGAAUUACUGAACAGUAAUGUGUGUCUUUGGAUGAUGAAUUAGUGAACACACACACACACAUAUAUAUAUAUAUAAUGAGGGAUCCCUAUUUUUGUUUAUUUCUAUGAAUAGACCCACACCAUUAGAUAUGUUUUUUAAUGGGCUUAGAUGACUGAGAUUAAAACAAAAACUUAACACUUAUGUCAAACCUACACCGUUCAAAAUCAUUAAAAAUAAAUCAAACAUUUGGAUGAUCUAAUGAUCACCAAUUUUUUUGAAAAUUUGUAGAAGUGAUCUACUCAUAUACACCUACAAACUAAACGGUGGAGAUGAGAUUUAGUGAUCGAGAAGUUUGUCAAAUACCCUAGAAAUAAACAAAAACGGAGCCCUCAUUGGUGUCUAUAUAUAUAUAUAUAUAUAUAUAUAUAUAUAUAUAUAUGUGGAUCCUUACUAACACAAGUUAUUAAUUUGUAUUUUCAGCCGAACUAUACAAGUGGCUAUACAUGAGCAUGUCUUUUAUAACAAGUAAAUCUCCUCAUAUGUGGUUCUAAUCUUCUAUAAUAUUAUAGAGUGCGGCUAUUGAGACCUCCAAAUUUGUUCACUUGACCUCCCUUUGUUAUGAGUUAUUAAAUGACAAUUAUCUCAUCUUAUGUAAUGACUAUUAAGGACAAUAAUUAUACAAAAAGAAGUAUAUUUAUUCUCUCUAGACUUUCUAAUUUGAUAAUUAAUUAAUUGUAUUCUUUAUUAUUUUCCUUAUAUAUUUUUAAUUUCUAAUUUACUAUUUUCUAAAUUUUACUACAUAUUAUAUAUUUAAUUAAAGCUAAAACUAUGAUAAAUAUCGACUGCGUAACAUAAAAUUUUCUACUAUCAUACAUGUUGAAAGCAUAUAUGUAUAUACAAGGUGAAAGAAUAUAUAUGCAAAAAGAAAUCAAUAAUGAAAAAUUAAAUAACUAUUGAAAUAAUUUCAUGAUGUAGAUAAAAUAGAGGGAAAAAAAGAACAUACAUAGUAUACAAUUGUUAUCCUUGAUCGUUGUUUAGCACAAGUAAAAUAGAAAUAGAAAAGCUAAUUUAUGAUAGAAUAUUUUCUUGUUGGUAAAUAUAAUUUUUUUAUCAUAUAAACAAUUAAUAUGCUACAACGAGUCUACUGUGAGUCGAACUCACGACCUCUCAAUUAUAAGAAAAGACGGUACUGGGCUGAUAAAUAUAAGUUUUUGAAACCCAAUACUUUGUGUUAUUUGAUUUUUAAGAGAAAAAUUGACGUCAUUGAAAAAAAUUUCUUACAAAUUGAUCAAAUAAUGGAGGUUUGGUGACAUUCUAUGGGAAAUAAAAAAUAUCAAGGAAUUGAGGUCAUGAAAGUGGUUUGAACGAAAAAAAAAAUCAAGGAAUAGAGGUCGAUCUCGAUGAUAGCAUGACAAAAAGAAAAAAAAUUAAAAAGAAUGAGAGGUCUAGAGAAUAAAUAAGAGGUAUAAUGAGUAAAUUAUUAAGAUAUAUAUGAAUAACAUACCUAAGGUUAUUUUAGGAAUUUAAAAUGAGGUCUAAUGAGUAAAUGCUAGUAGUUAAAAUUAAAAAGGAGGUAUAAAUAGCAUAAGAGGUAUACUGAGCAAAUUUGGAGGUCCCAAUAACCGCACCCAAUACUAUAUCAUCAACUCAAUAAAACUUUUAUAACCCAUGCACAUUGUCAAGUUUGAGCUUUAUUAUAAUUCUUCUUGGAGUCACGAUUUCAAUAAAAGUUUCAUAACAUGUAAUAUUAUCCAAGCAUAUUAAAUUUUGUACUUUUAGAACAAAUUUAACUAGCUUGAAUCCUUUUCAAAAUUGGCAAGAAAUUAAUUGGUUUACAAUGAAUAAUAAAACGACUACUUUUUAGUAAUAGUGGGUAGUGAAUAAUAUGAUUGCUUUAGGCAAUUGUUGGUAGUAUACAUUGGUUUGCUUUAGCUUGUUUUCUUUGAACCAUGAUUUGUAUUACGGUCACUCCGAUGCUAUUUCUUUAGGCAAUUAUUGGUAGUAUAGGUUGGUUUGCUCUAGUUAAUAAGACAACUACUUUUUAGUAGUAGUGGUUAGUGAAUAACAUGAUUCGCUUUAGCUCUGAUACUAUUUCAAACAACAAUCGCACUGUUAAAUCGAUCAUCAUUUGAAAUAGUAUCGGAGCUGGACUCCCUAAAAAAAAAUCAUUAUUUUUCAUUUUCUUAACCAUCAAUGAUAAGAAGAUGUAAUUCAUGUAAAUUCAAAAAAAAAAAAAAAAAAAGAUAAAAACUAUUUAUAGAAAUCGGACCGGGUCUGGUAAAGGAGAACCCGGAAACCCAAAUGCAAAAUAGAAGCUCUCUCUCUCACUCUGAAAAGCCCCAAACUCUGCAAAACCCCCACACCCCAACUCUCUCUCUCUCUCUCUCUCUUCCGUCUCUCUCAUACUCACAUGCUUCUCCGAUCUCGGCCGUAAGCUCUUCUACUAUCUGCCCUCCGAUUUCAUCUUCGUCUGUAAUUUAGACUGGUAAAUUUGCUCUACGCUUUUCAUUUCUCAUGUUUUGGUUGCUCUGAAACUUAGCAGCAAAUUUUUCUCAGCUUUUUUCUUCGCUCCUUUGAAUUUGUGCUUCCGUCACUGAAAUUCAAGCUUCUAAGUUUUUUCUGGUCAAGUUUUAUGGAGCAAUUUCAUAGUCAUUAGGAUGAAUAAAGUUGAUUUGAGCUUAUUUGAUUGUGUAGUUUUUGUUUGGUUGAGCUUGACCUAGUGGCAUUUCUGCUCCGUUUUGAUUCUCUCUGCAAUUUUUUAUUUUUUUUCAGGUGAAAUAUUCAGUGAGAGAUAAUCAUGCCGGACGUGCAUACUCUUGUGAAUGAUUUCGUUAUCAAGCUGAAAAGGCGGUAUGCGUUUAUGUUAUUAGUUUGUUCGAUAGUUGAGGGCUCUAUGGUAGAGCUGUUUUGAUUGUGGAUGGUUUGUGUUCUGGCAGGAAAAUUGAAGGCUCACAGGCCACGGCUAAGCUGACUGCUGAGUUGCUUCGCUCGGUGAUUUCUUCGCAGCGUGUGCCCUACACGAAUCAAGCUGGAGCCUUGAUUGAUGCUGUGAAUGCUGUUGGGGAGCAGCUCAUUGCUGCAAAUCCUGUGGGUAUGUGUGUGGAACUUUUACACAAGUAGAGCUAGUCAUGUCACUGGAGUAUUAUUUGGUUUGGUUAGUAGAGUAUGACGGUCAUUUCAUGCCGAUCGUCUUUGUUUAUAAUACCACCUAGCAAUCUGUCUACUCUGGCAACUCUUUCCUAGUGGCCUGUCAAAUUGAACCAUAUAUGUGGGGAUGAGUCAAAGUGGAUGUUUUCUUUGGUCAAGUUUGAUAAUCAGAAAUUGCAUUCUACCAAUUGGGUUGAUUGCAUACAUAAUUUUCUCUAAAAGGGCUAGUUAGUUGAUUACAGUCUACCGAUUGGUGCUUGAACAUCCAAAAGGAAGAAUUUUUGCUGUUGUUUGAUCAUGGACAAAAGUUAGAAUCUUAAGUUCCUCUGUGUUUAUGCUCAAAUGGAUAUGUAUGUUGGUUCUAUUGUCUAGGAGGAAAUUUGUGGCAGAUAGUUCUUUUCUUCAGCUUUCAUGUGGGUCUGGUCCCUUGAAUGAAAUCCAAAAGUUGUUCUUCAGAUGAGCAAAGCCAAUAUUUUAACAAAACUCGAUACCUUUGUCUUUUGUUGAAAGUAGACUAAAGUGCUGUAAUGGGAGAGGGCAAGAGUUGAACUCCUACCGUUAGUGUUGGAUCCAGUGCUCUUACACUGGAGCCUUACUCCCUCUCCCCCUAGUUCAAGAAAUAAAACCUUUGGGCAUUUUGGAAACUAGGAAUAUGGCUACACUAUUAAAUAGUACGUCCAACAAGUGCAAAUACAGUUUGAGAUAUACCCACCUAGCUUAGUGAGAACUUUGUACAUUUCUUGCCUUUCUCUAUGAAGUAUUCUCUGAAUAGUUUUUCAUCUGUCUUAACGUUUGCUAUUUUUAAUUCAAACAUGUGAGGCCUACUGAAUUGUCAUUUCUACUUUCUAAGGUAGAGAAGUACUGAUGUUGCCAAGUGUACUCGCCUGUAUACAUCCUUCAGGGAUUUUCUAAUUCAUAAAUAUCAUCUCAGAAGUACUGUAUUUAUUUCUUUACAGUUUUUUUUCCUAAUCUUUAUAUAUUUAGGGGCUGAUUUAUUCUAUUUUCCCUGGUGAUAUUGUUGAAUAUGAUUGCAGAGCUCGCUGUGGGUAAUAUUGUGAGGCGGGUUUUGCACAUUAUCAGGGAGGAGGAUCUUUCUCUCACCACAGCUGCUAUGGCUGGGUUGAACAUGUCGACUGUCAGUGAUGAUGAAGAUGAUGGUGACCGCGACAACUAUCCAGUUUUGUCUGCUGCUGUAGUUGCAGCAGCUGCGAGAAGCACACUGCGUCCGCCUUCCUUGCAAACCCUUCUUGAAGACAUACCUGAUGCAGCAGCUAUCCCUCACACAUCUUCAUCUGGUGAUUCUGAAGGAAAAAGCAAAUGUGCGCUCUUCACUCUUUACGUUCUCAGGAAUUUGUUUUUACUUUCUAGUAGAUUGUGUUCAAUAUUUGAUUAAAGCAUGCAGACUUUUUCACUCAAUAUUUCUGAUGAUAAUGCUUACUAUUUUUAUGUGGAAAUUGGUCACUUGAAUUUUGGGUCUCACAAUGGUCUAUGGUGCUGAAACUGGAGUUACUAUUUUAGAAAAAAAAAAUAAUAAUUAAAUGCUGACAUCGAUAUUUAUUAUCUUUCACAGCUGCUGAUAAAAGUUCUAGAAGCCGGAAGCUGAAACAUGAUGUCAUUGAAGCAGUCAAUGAACUUAUUCAGGAUAUUUGCACUUGCCAUGAACAGAUUGCUGAACAAGCAGUAGAGCACAUUCACCAUAAGUAUGUUUUCCUCUUAGCCUUGACUAUUUUGUCUACGCUGCCUGUUACUGAUUCUAGUAUUUUCUUUCAAAUAUAGUAGCCUUAUGCAUAUAAUUACUUUAAUAGUAAUUAGUGCGGUGUUGAUUUUGUUGAGUGUGACAACUGUAUACUAAUCAUAUUCAUGCUUUUUUGGUGGUUCUAGUGAUUUAUUUAAACUAAAUUCAAUGCCGUAAUGAUUUAAAUUUUUUUGUUUAUUGGUCUUUUAUGUUUUUUUCUCUGUUUCUCUGUCUCUGUCUCUGUCUCUGUCUCUCUGUCUCUCUGUCUCUCUGUCUCUCUCUCUCUCCCCUUUUGUGAUCCACAAUAUAAAUUGGUGUUGCAUUAGUAUUCUUUCAAUUCUUAGAUCAGCUUUAUGGUCUCUGUUACCAGGGGUUUUAAAGUAUGGUUGUGUUUGAUGUAUUGUAAAGACAUGAAGCAAACUGUUUACUGAAUCUAAUGACAAUGAAGCUCUUGUUGAUAAUUAUUAUGUGGGUUUCUGAGAAUUCUGUAAUACUUGGGAAAUGGUAGGGUAAGAGUAUGGUGGUGUCUGCUUGUUUCCUGGGGAAAAGUUAUUGUUUUGAUGCAGCACAGCAAAACAGCUGGGGUGAGCAAGAUUAGUGUGGGUUGGGGAGUAUUGAGAGAUUAAAGAAAGCAGAAUGUAUUUAGAAGAAGCAGAGGGUUUUAGCUGUAUAAAGGAGAAAUAGAAGGAGGGAGGUUAGGGGAGAGAACAGAGAAUAGGGUAGGGGAAGAGAAACCAAGGCAGCAAGCCUUCAAUAGCACUCAAUUUUACUUCAUUCCAAUCUGAUUUGGGUUUUCAAUUAGUAGCUAUAUUAAUAGGCUUAUAUUGCAUAACCCAUGGACUCAUAGAACACCAGAAGACUCAAUUAAAGACUUAUUAAUGAUAAGGCCCUUGAACACUAGACUCAUAAUUACUUUUCAUAAAAACUACCAUGGAGACUUUACUUUGGAUAAAAAAAAAUUGGGCUUAGUCUUAGGCUUCCAAAGUGGAAAUUUUGUUUCCAACCAAGUUGUGGCUGCUGCACUAUGUUUUUCGAUCAAUUCUGUUUGUAGAUGAUUACUCACUAAUAGAUAGAGUUUGAGAAGUCAGGCAUUGUUUCUACUGGUUACUGGAAACUAGAAAUCAGUGAAGUUCCUAGUUUGAGUCGGUUGGUUGCUGAAUUUUUCUUUUGCCUGGUUAGUGGAAUUUAUUUUUGUCUGCAGUUCUUAUUAAUCUAUGUGGCUUGAUCUGCAUUCUUCCAGGUUGCUGAUUAUUGUAUGUUUGUCUAAAGAAAAUAUAUAUUCAAGCAUAUCUAGAUGCUUAGAAAAUUAUCAUGUUAUUGGCAUAACAACUCCACAUUGAAUUAUUCACUCGGUCAAUCGUGGGAAUGUGUACGAGAUAAAAAGAACUAUAUUAUAUCCUAGAGUCAAGCAAGAUAAAAAGAAAAUAAUAACUAUGAUUACAUAAUGUACAGUGAGGACUUUUGAAUGUGUAUGUCUGCUUUGAAUCUGAAACAAAUGGACUACUUUUCAUUUUCUUGUUUAAUUAUUUGGUCUGUUAUUUAGCUGUCGAGAUCUUGCUUGUGCAGGGGGCAUCAAUUGUCUUUUAACCAAUACUGUGUAUAGUUUAGCUUAUUAGGUAAACUUGACGAGAUGAUUUCUAAGAGAGAUUUUGCCAGAAGAGAGCUUAUACUUUGGAUCUUCCAUCAGCUCAUUCUUAUUCUGUGGGAUAAUUUGAUUAGCUCUGUAGUGAACUUGUAUUCCAUAUCUUAUACAUAAAUUUUUUACGUGGGUGCUCAAUUUCUGUUUGCUGCUAAGACUGCAUCCUACCAUCUAAACAAGUGUACAGUUGGGUUGAUUAAUUUAAAUAAUUCUUUCUUUCCUAUUAGAUGGUUGUAUUCUUUUGCUUGCUGGCACAUUUCGAUCGCUGUUCUUAUAGUCUUUAAUCAUUUCACUGAAGGGGAUACUUGGGUAGAUAAAAUUCGUGAGGAAAUGAGAUUAAGACCAAAUUAUUAUUCACGAACUAGAUACACAGGAACAGUAGUGUUUUCCACACAUUUUUUUUAGAACUUGCAGUGGGUCCAUCUACUUGAGAGUAUAUGUCAUAUAUUCUGUCACCACUUCAUAAUAAUUCUAGAAGAUUCAACAUUGAUGGUAACAAGAUUAUUACAAUGGGCUGCUGAACUAUAGUAAUUAUUUUUUAUCUGAUUUGAUUGUUGUACUCUUUUGCUUUCAUGGCUUUCAUCUAGCUGUUUGUAAAAGUUCCGAGAACUUGUAUGCUGACUUCAAUGCUGGGACAAUACACUACUUUAAUUUAGCUUUUGAAGUUUCUGAGGAAAGCUUUAUCUCCUGAACUUUUUGUGUUUUCAUUGGGAUUUUGGAUCCAAGGCUUGUUGCAUUCGUGUUCAUCUGUAACAACUUACUCAUCUAUUGUGCUACUAUCUUAUAUGUUCUGGUACUGCUAUUUGUACGUACUAAAAAGAACUUAUAAGACGGUAUGGGGUCUCUUCUCCAUUCAUCAGAAUAUUUAGCUUUAUGUAGAGUGACUACUGGCUAAUCUGUUUGAUCUUCAAUUUUCUUAUUUCGGUUUUUUUUUAUCUGCUUUUUUUAGUAUGCUAAUUGCCAAGUUUUUUGCAGUGAGGUUAUAUUGACUCUAGGCAGUUCAAAAACAGUUCUGGAAUUUCUUUUUGCUGCAAAGGAGAAAAAAAGAUCAUUUCGGGUAUUUGUUGCAGAGGGGGCUCCAAGGUUAGUGCAAAGCCGAACCUAUUCUUCCAAAGUUUUAGAACUCUUAACACUACAGCUGUUAGGUUAACCAUUCUCAUUUGUUAUUAUGGGGUUUCUAUUAGGUAUCAGGGGCAUCUUCUUGCAAAAGAAUUGGUUGCCAGAGGUUUACAAACCACGCUGAUUACUGAUUCUGCAGUUUUUGCUAUGAUAUCUCGAGUGAACAUGGUAGGAGGCAGUCUUAGUAUAUUUAUUUUUCUUAUAUUUCCGAUUUGAGAAUCUACAUCCUAUGUUCCAGCUUGACCUUACAUUUUGUAUUUUUAAGGUUAUAGUGGGUGCUCAUGCUGUCAUGGCCAAUGGUGGGGUUAUAGCACCAGUUGGGUUGAAUAUGGUUGCACUUGCAGCCCAAAGGCAUGCCGUUCCUUUUGUUGUACUUGCUGGCAGUCACAAGGUACAUUAACACAAUACUAGUUGAACUUUUCAUCAUUUGAGAACUCCUUUGUUAUGUUUACAUUUUUGGGGUUGAAAACAAGUUUUUCUAAUAUCAGUCCACCGAUGGGGUAAGUGGUAACAAGUAAAGAGCAGCUUUGAAAGAGUUGAGUAGAAGGAAUCAUUUGAGUCAAAUAUAUGGGGGUGAAAUAUUCAUCCCAUCUAAGAAUUGAUUAUCCCUUAGUUGUUUGAGAAUUAAGUCAGAUGCUAAACAGAUAGUAUUACUCAGGAAUCAGUCAAGUUUUUGCUGGCUGCUAGUGUGUUUAUGCAUGAUUAGACUAAUUACAAAGAAUGCUAGAAUGGGGAUCUGGUCUCAUGGGAUUCCCAAACAGAGUUGGUCUUAGCCGGGUUGAACUGAGAGCAAUACUAUCUGUUUGUAGCUUAUUUUCCUGGAUUUCACUCUUCAACUCUAUCUAUCCAAAUUGUCUGUUUGCUUUACAGCUGUGCCCUUUGUAUCCACACAACCCGGAAGUCUUGUUGAAUGAGUUAAGAUCCCCUUCUGAGCUGCUGGAUUUUGGAGAAUUCUCAGAUUGCAUGGAUUUUCGAAGUGGCACUGGUUCCCCACUUCUGCAUGUUGUCAAUCCUACAUUUGAUUAUGUGCCGCCAAAGCUUGUUAGUCUAUUUAUCACUGAUACGUAAGUACUGUAUGGAUUUAUUUUCAGGGAAGAUAGGUUUCACCUAUAGCAUUUCUGUUAUGUUAAAGGAAUAAAAUGGAAAUGGAAAUGGGACUAAAGGAUUAUUUUGCCAUCAUAGCUUCUAUCAAGCCUUGACCCUAAACAAUCAAUCUCAGCUCAGUAUUUUGAACUUUUUCAGUUUUAUAUAUACUCAUUUCCUGGAUAGUGUAUCACUGACAAUCUCUCUUUCUUUCCAGUGGAGGCCAUAAUCCAUCAUACAUGUACCGGCUCAUUGCAGAUUAUUAUUCUGCUGAUGAUUUAGUGGUCCAACGGAGACCUGGUACAGGGAGUUGAGUUCAGCUCCUGUUCUUAUAUCAUAUAUUGGGUAAGUAUAUAAUUCAGUAAUUAUUCUCCCAGCUGGGCUCUGUGGUUGUCGUCUGUCAACUCAGGGUUGAUAACUGCCAUUAAUUAACAAGUCUGUUUGGGAAAACAAUCACUAGAGCACAGUUAUUUUCCUUUUUAAAUUAGGACCUGCAUUCUUGUUGCAAACAUUCUUGGUAGCAAUACAUGCAAUUUCAGUCCAGGAUUGUAAUGUGUGGUAGAAACCCUCUUUAUGAAUGUUUUUGAUCCAUAUUGUAAAAAAUAGGUAUGUACCAAGUGUUAAAAUUUGUUUCAGCAUGAUUGCCUUGUAUAUUGUACUUUUAUCAUCUUUCAAUGGGUAUGCUUCAGAUAAUAUUUUCUCAUGUGUUUGUUACAUCUAUUGCACUCCAUGCAAAUAUUGCAAACCUCAUCAGUAAUUGACUUGACAACUUUCCUGCACUUUUAGGGAGUACAGAAAGCUAUAAUGGUUUUGGUCGGAUGGAGAGAUUGUGAUAUGAAUUGUUAGUCUUAUGGAACCAUGAAGACCAUUGUUGUUGCUGGUAGUGUACUUGGACAAGAUGCAUAGCGAAGGAGUAAGAUGAGCUGUCAACCUCGGAUGGUACUAAUAGAAGCAAAGAGAGCCAAUUUUGUGUAUCUGGCCACUUAGGAAGUAGAGUUUAUAUUCUUCAAAACAAAGAGUGAAUAGAAUGUGUUUUUUGUGAUAUUAUAAGGACAGUGCGGAAAGGGAUUGUUUUCCAAUUCCAUAGCAGGAUGUCAGAUACUAAAAUGAUGUAUUGCAUGUUUGCUGAUCUUAUCGCAGAUUGUUGGUGGUACGUUCUUUCAGUUAAUGGACGAGUGGAAUUCUAGAGGAAAUAUUGUUGGGUAUCUGGCUUUUUGCUGAGAAAACCAUUUUCAGGUUUCCAACUUGUGUUUCGUUUUCUUUGCACACUUGGAAAUCUUUUUUGAAACCGCAGGAAAAUGCAGAUACAGGCUAAGUUUAUGUGUCAUGUUAUGUUUGCACAAGUCCAGACGUUCAACAAUUAGGACAAGAAAAGAGUAGUUGGAUUAUUAUUAUUUUGGUUACAAGGGGCCUACAAGGCAAGAACAAAACUCAAAAGAAGCAAAUUAAUCGAGAAGACCUAACAGCAGGUGUGAUCCUAGAUUUCCUUACUCUUAAUGAGAAUGAAUGAGACUUUCAACUUCUCUCAUAUUCUGGCUCUUUACAUAUCUCCCUAUAUUCUCCGUCUCUCAUUAACGGAAGUUUCUAGUUUAUAACAUAAACUACGGUGUAUAAACAAUGUGGUAAUCAAAAAGCAAAAGAAACUUGUGUUGGAAAGCUCAUACCUUAUCAAGGGGUGUAACUCAAAUCCAAGUUUUCUCGUAUAUAAACCGAUUUUUUAAACCGUAAACCCUGGACAAAACCAAAUUAUAUAUAUAUAUAUAUAUAUAUAUAUAUAUAUAUACAGAAAGGAUGUAGAGCGGACGUCCGCACUCGGCUUAAAGUGCGGACGUCCGUCCGUUCUCCAUCCUCCGGCUCCGGCGACGGCACGCCUCCACCCCAGAAGACUCCAGCAGCGUCCCCGACCAUUUCCCCUCCCCGGCGAGUCCGUUUUUUUCCAGUUUCCAGCGAGAUCGACUUUGUUUGAAGUUUUGGGUGAUCUCGCCGGAAAACCGGAAAAGAAUGGACUCGUCGGGGAGGGAAAGUGGUCGGGGACGUUGCUGGAGUCUUCUGAGGUGGAGAUGCGCCGUCGCCGGCGCCGGAGGGUGGAGAACAGGCGGACGUCCGCACUUUAAGCCGAGUGCGGACGUCCGCUUCAUAUCCUUCCUGUAUAUAUAUAUAUAUAUAUAUAUUUUAAUACGUGUCACUUUAUUAUUAGUAGAUAGGAUUUCUUACUACGUAUCACUUUAGGAAGACAAAAUCUCUAUCAAAUUACACACACACACUCUUAUGAACUCACAUUCUUGAACAAGUAUACUAUUAAAAAUAUAUGUAUUUCAUAUUAUAUUUUGACGUUUAAUCUAAACAUGAUUGUAAAUUCGUGAUGAAAAAGAAAAGAGACAACAAGAAAUAUAUUAUUUUUUAAUUUUUAUAGAGAAAAAAGAAAAAAUAAUCAAUUUUUCAAUAUAGGUCAUCUUAUUAUUUUAAAUUCGGGCUAAAUCCGAAACCGAUCCGGUUUUCAGUUGACCCGGAUAAUUAGUUAAAAGAUUUUAAAAUUCGGUUUCGGUUGGAGAUUUUGUAAAUCCGAAUAAUUCGGAUUGGAUUCGGUUUGAACCUAAAACUAGUCCAAUCC